UGACACACUCUUUGGAUGCACAGUUCGCUUAAAGACAAGGGUACAGAUUAAUUGGUUAUUAUAUCGGAAGAUUAUUUGAUGAUAUAAAUGUUAAUUUUUAACUGAGAUAGAGAUUUACAUGAAAUUUGGCUCAAAUUCUUCACAUUUAGAUGCUUUUUUUUAUCAAGUGAGACUUCUGUUCCAGAUUUACUUGAAUAGAAGGAAAUAGAGCUUAUCUCUUACUAUUGUUGAUCUAUUGUCAUUGUCAUUAAUUUUACUUGAAUCAUUCCAAAAACAGAAUAAAUGAAACAAGUUUUCUCUGACAAAGUGACACCGUUACCAUAAAGUUUCUAGCUAGAAAUUUUGGAAAACAUGCAUCUUUAUUAACUUCGAGUCAAAUUAGACAAUCCUAAAAAUGUUAAUUUUGAAGAGUGUAUGGAAGAAUUCCUCUGUUCUUCGAUCAUAUUCUUUUUAGUAACAUUCUUACUUUUGACUUAGUACAAAUAAUAUUCCAAAUGCACCAUAAUGGGCCACCAUGUUUCCUUUGUGUGACUAUGCACAGGACACUGCUAUCAGUCUUGUUCUGUUCUUUCCACGGAACCUUCGAAUGUCAAUUUACAUACAUGAUCAUAGGAAAAAAAAUUAUUAAACCCUUAUUCUAAUGAAACAGUAUGUCAUUUUUAGUCUUCCACUUUACAAAAUUCUCAUUUUAGAUUCUGACUUUGCAAAACGUGAUUCAUUUUAGUUCUUUUUCACCUCAUUUUUCAUUGUUGUUUUGCACAAUAAAGGUCUAAAUUUUGUAAAUACAUGGACUAAAGUGAAGAUUUCAUAAAAUUAGGAACUAAAAUAAUCAGCAUUUACAAUGUCAGGGACUAGAAUGGGGUUUACUCAAGAAAAAUCUAAAACUUUCACUCAUGCCCCUCCCAUGUCUGACCACUGAAGGUUUUCAGUAAAGAUGUUGGUUGCCUCAUUAUUUUCUUCCUCAUUUGAGACGUCUAUGUAUUAACAUACAUGAUGUAUUCCUUGAACUAUUGGAGUGUGUGAUUCUCGAAUAAGCUCCUAAACUAAAUCAUUUUUAUCCGAGUUCACAAACUUUCAAGUUAUUUAUUUUCAGUCUUUUCGGCGUGAUCAUGGCUCCCAAGUCUUAAAUGGGAGCCAUUUCCUGCGUGGUUUUUGCUUUCUCUCACUUGUGGCAAUGGCAAGGUCAUUGGGAAAGAGGUCUCGUAGGACAAAGGCAUGCACUAUAGUCGAGACAAGCACUGCUGUUACUGUGAAUGUAGCAAUGAGACUCAAUAUUACACUCAAAGCUUGAGUUAGUACAUUUGUGACUUGAUUUGUAUAGGUUAUGGUAGCAAUUGCUGCAGCAGUCAUUGGAAAAGUGUAGGCCCACCAUGAAAGUGAGAAUCUGCAGAAUCAAAUCCAAUAUUUGUAAGAAAAAUCAACAUAAUGGAAUAAUAGCCAAUGUUAUAGAUAGAGGAGUGUAGCUUACUUGAAUCCUCUGAAAAGAUUGACCCGGACAGCCUGCAAAAGCAUAGGAAACUAAUAAGCCACUUGAAUACUAAAAUUAUUGCAAACUAUACUAUGUUAUGCAUAUUUAAAGUACUAAUGUGAUAAAAGCUUACCAGUGAAAUAUAUAGGAACAUGGCAGUGAAAUAGAAAAUCCUUGAUUCAUAAUGAAAUGAACCCUGAAUCUUAGCCCAUGCCAUAGCAGCAACACUAGGCGGUGCCACAAAAAGAAAGAACACUGGAUGGAGGUCUUUUGGGAUGGUCUUAUUUGUUGGAAGCAUCUGGGAGAGAGUUACAAACAACACCAUGUAGUGAGCAAGCCCAAGAGCAAAGAAGAAAAGAGGCCCUUCUUUUAGGCCCAUUGAUGCACCCAAUAAGGCUCCUACAAAAUUUCCAACAAUUGCUAAGAGAUUUGUUGGAUUGGCCACCUUUGACAGCAGUCUUUUGCCCCCAAACAUCCACUGUCCAUAUAUCUUUAGCUUAAGGCAGAACAAUGGAAUCAUUAGAAUGUACCAAACUGCUUGAUGCAAGUCCUUGGUAACUGAUGGGGGAACUCCAAGAGCUAGGAACAAAAGGGCUAUCCAUGGUGCAAAGAAGAAGUUAACACGAACCGGAUGUUGGUACUCACGACGAACUGCUUCAAAAUGGAGAAUUAUUUUGAAGAGAUAGGUGGUGAAAAUAGUAGCAACAAUAGCAAUGGAGAUGAACCAUAGGAUGAAAUUUAUUUUAGGGGUUAUGUGAAGAAAUGCAGUGGAAGGAGACGUGGCCAAUGCUUUCCAAAGAAUUGCUUGACUGCUAACUCCAAGACAAAUACCAAAAGAUGAAACCGGAAACCGAAGAAGAAAUGGCCACUGCUUGUCCUGAGGAAGCACCAUCUCUUCUGAAGACUUCUGAAGAAGUAAAUCAAAAUAAAAUACAUUAGACAAACACCAAUGGUUAACUUAUUUAUGUCAUAGUGAGUGUCAAAAAAGAUAAAGGAUCAUUAGGAAACAAUGAUUAACUUAUUUCAACAUAAGACUCAAACUUAACUAGUUGGAUUAGCAUAAACUGCAUUGAAAGUUAUCUAGGAAGUGGAUUAUUUGUUACACAAGAUGAACAUGAGUACACUUAAACUUGUAGAUGGUAAACACAUACCUUAGGAGUUUGUAACUGUGGACCCUCCAAUGUUUUGAAGAACAAAUCAACAGGUAAAGGCUUAUUAGUGUUGCAUAAGCUGUUAUCAUCUUCUGCACUUUCUGUAUGUACCUUUCCACUCAUAACUGAUAUGUGUCCCCCUAGUUUACUGGACCAUGUUUUGAAAAAAUCAAUCCUCUUAUUAUUCAAGCUUAUGACGCUUUCUUGAUUGUUAAAAUUGACACCGCUUGCUGGCUCUGAGUGCAGACUGCCAUUUGGCAUUGAUUGUGAUGGUAAUGGUGGCUUGGAGUCUGUAGUAGUUGAUUGAGAAGAGAAAUCAUUUUCGCCACUAUAGAGAACUCUUACGGUGUUAUGCAGCUGAACCUCUUCACAAGAGAAUGGUAUGUUGAUAGAUACCGAAUGCUUAUUCCGAUGAUUAAUGGCUGCAUGUUCAUCACCUUGGCUUCCUGCUAAGAUUGUUUCAUUCUCCUGUCAUUGGAAACGGAUAUCCUAAAUUAUAAUCAGCAAAAUGGAUGUUGUAUAAUACUAGAAGUUUUAAAUAGUUUCAUGAAAGGGACUAAUCUCUUGAAAUUUAUUUUCAACCAAUAUUUUCAAUUUUGCAAGCUCACAGAAUGAUAACGAGGCUUACUUUGAAAGAUGAGCUUAGAUUUUUCAAGUCACCAUUGUCAAAGUUUCCUUCAUCAUUUGAUGAUAUAUGUUGAACUAGUGAUGGAAUUUUAGGCAAGCCAUGCCCUUCUGUUUCACGGUUAAGGUUGUUUUCCAUGCUAGGCCUAGACCUGAAAAAGUAUAAAAACAAUUCAAUUUACUGACAUAUGAAUGAAUCAUUUUAGUUCUAAUGGAAUUUGUUACAUUAUACAUACAAAUAACUAUUUCAAUUACAUUAAGCGUGCAUCUAUCUGUUUUGAAUCUUAGCCUGAUUACUAAUUUAGAGGAUAACAACGGAAACCUUAGAGAAAUUAUUAGAUAACUACUUAAGUUUUUAACAAAGCAUAUUGGGCUAGUGAGCCGGGAGAUCAAAUGGCAUGACCAAUUAUUAAAUAUUAAUCACCAGCUACCAUUCAUGUCAUUUUCUCGUUAGAUCACUAGAAUCUACAUGUAUAACUAAAAUACAUACAUACAUAUAUAUUGAAGGAGGGCCGAAGAGGCUGGUCUACACUCUUGCCCCAUCUCUAAGAAAUAUGUGUUAUAAUAAUGCAAGAGGGAAAGAAAGGUCUUAGGAGCAAUGCUACUAUAUGCUAGUAAUAUCCACUCUUCGAUACUCUUUAUUAUUAGGUAAAGUUCAUAUGAAUCUUGUACCCAUACUAAAAAUCUGAACUGCUGUCAAAGUCAGCCUAUUCUCUUCUUAAUAAGACUCACGUGAAAUUCGCCAUAAUAGAGUAAAUUGAAAAAAGUGUGUUUAAGAAUAGGAUGGUCGUAGCAUUUCAAAAGAUCUUAUUCUUUCAUCAUAAAUACAACACCAUUUUAUCAAACCCGUUUUUAUUAGCCUUGAAAAUGAAAAAUACGAAGCGACCAUUAUAGUGUUUGAAGAAGUGGGAGAAAAAGUUAAUGGCCAAAAGGGCCCAUUGCAUACUUUCAAGGUUCAAAGUGCAUAAUUGCAGAAUGCAGAACAAUGUUCUAACUCCAAACCCCAUUAGAGAGAGAGAGAGAGAAUGAAAAACGUAUAUAUGAAAAAGGACAUUAACCUUUGAAGUUAUUACACACUAUCAGAAGCACAGGUUAUAUAUACAACUCAGGAAGCAGAAGUUUCAGGCUUAGGUAAGCUAAGAAAUUUCACAAGAUGAUCCAAAAGAAAAAAUAUAAAACAAAAUCAAAAUUCUGCUAAGGAAGAAGAAACCAUGUGCUUCAAGAAAAAAUAAAGAGUGUAUAGAGAAGACAUGCGUGAGAGAUCAUGAGAAGGAGAUUAUAUAUAUUGUAACACAAUCCAAGACUAUGGUGGCCACAUUAACUCUUGCAGCCAUUACGUCAACAGCACUUUAUUAGUGAUAUCAACAGCUGCUUAUUUUGACAACGGCAUGGCCACAUUAGAAGACAAGUACGGCACAAAUUUUGGUAGGUCAGAUUAUGUCAGAAACCACAGAUGAGUCCAUGAAUACAGUAAAAAAACUAUAGAUCAAAAAAGUUAAGUGCAUAUAUAUAAUAAUAUAAUUAAGCUUCAUAUUUCUAGGUCAGUGCAUGUCUCAAUUUUCUAGCGAUCACCUAACAUUUGGGUGACGUCACGAUUAAAUAAAUAGUAAAGUUGAACCAAAAAAUUCUUGUUAGAACAGGGUUCGCUACUCCCACUUAAACUAACCUUUAUUAGAAGAUGCGGUAAUAUUCUAAUAUUUUCCUCGUCAUCUCCCAACACAAACCCAUAAUGGACCAAAUAUUUAAUCAAGAAAUGAAAUAAGAGAAUGGAAGUUAGUUUUAUAACGGAAGUUGUAAGUGCAUGCAUAUUAAGAGAUAUGGAGGGUUAAUAGUUGACUCUCUAAUACACUCUUAUUUUGUUAGGUAAAAUUUAUUAAAAACUAUAAAAAUUAUAAGACUCGGAUAAAUAAAAAGUAAGACUUGCAAAAUAUAUAAUUUUUAAUAAAUUUUAAAUAAUAAUAAUAAAAAUUCAAAAGAGUGUAUUAGUUUUAAAUAUUAUUUUUUGGUAAUCAUGUUUGGUAAGAAAUAUUCACUUAUUUCUAUCAAAAAAUCUGAUUGGUCAGUUUUAGUGGAAUUUUUUUUUAUCAAUUACAUUUUUUUAUCCACAAAAUUUGAAUUUGAGACCUUAUUCAAGGGAACUAAGUCCAAUACCACUCCAACCAAUGACUUAUUGAUUGAUUUGGAUAACAUGAGGUUAUAAGUUCUAAUCUCAGCUUAAUUACUGUUAAAAAAUAUUAUUAAAAAAAUAGAGCUCUUACAUGCCAAAGCCCCAGCAAGGGUUAACACUUGGCAAUUUCACUUGUUCGGAACAUGUCUACCAACAAAAGGUUAUUAAAGAACAAAUCUUUGAUAUGUUCUAAAUUGCAAACCAAUGAAAUCAGCCAAACAUAUUGGUUUGGACGUAUAAUAGAGUUUGGUGUCCCUAAUUUCAAUUUACUUAUCACCAUAUGAAAGUGGGUUCUCGAUCAUAUUUUAAAAACUAAAAAACAGAAACAAAAAGGAGAUGUUUUCUCAAUUUAAUUUUAUUUUUCCUGUUAUAUGCAUCUUCUUCCAACCGUAAUGUUGAACUAUACAAUAUAGUAGAUCUUACUUACGUACUCUUACCAGCAGCAUGGAGACCCUGGGUUGUUGGUUUCAUGAAAAGCUUCGCGAACGACACCCACUGAUCCACAAUGCAAUUGAUGUCGUUCAUAUACAUGUUCUAUUAUCAAUUGAUCGUAGAUCGUCAAUGAGUACUGCUUCUGCUGCAUUUCUUUUGUCGGGUGAAUUGAAAUUGAGAGAGAUUGAAGGAAAUUAAAUCGUCACGGAUGAGAGAUUAAAGUGAAAAAUAUUUGCAUCCUUUGAUUUAUGUACUUUGUGAUUAACGAGUGUAAUAACUAGCAUUAAUAAUGAUAGUGAUUCACUCUAGGAAAGAAAGUUUUUAUAAUCACAAAUGAAACUAAAAAAUACGAACUUUUUUUUUAAUGAACUGAGCAAAGAACACCCCAGACCUAUCAAUUAAUCACCAAAUUUUAGAAAAUACAAUAGGUCAAUAAAGGAGUUUACAGCAAAGGCAGGGAUAGAAUUAAAGAAAAUACAAUACUGCUUAAGGAUAAAUCGAAUUUGGCAAAACAGUCUGCAGCUAUUUGAUUUAAUAUAGAAAAUGUUAUGGAUUAAAUCAUAAUUUUUAAAAUAAAAAAUAAAUAUAUUAGUGAGACUGAAAAGGUAGCUCAAUCCAAUUAAGGUCUAAAAAUCAUUAGACAUGCUGUCAAAAAGAAAAAAACUUAUUAGACAUACGGAAGAUAAUAGAUAAUCAUUAAAUUUGAGUAGUUAUCAGCGAUCAUUUUUUUCAAACAUUUCGAGAAUGAAUCAACAUUUAUCGACGUUUACUGCUAAAGUAAGCCAAGGAGGCUAUAAAUCUCGAAUAAGUCAUAAUAAUAAAAUAAAAAAAAAAAAAAAAACUUUUACUCGUCAUCUCUAGACUUCACAGAUAAGAGACAUUGACUUAAUUAAUAGGCGACUGAGAUUUGCAAGUGAUCUCUUAUCAUUUCUGGAAACAAAAGAACAACUAUUGUAGACCACCUUAACCUGCAGCUGCGAAACACACGAAUAUAUUUUCCUCCUUAGACAAGAGCAAUAUAGAAUUGAGCUUUUAAUUGAUAACAACAAGUUAGAAUUCAAUGAAUUUAUUAUAAGAGGAAUUUUAUAAAGAUAGUAUAUUAAAGAUUGAAAUUCUGUAUAAAACUCUCACAAUUAACGUUAAUGUUGUGCUUAUAAUAUAUCCUAAAAGCAUCAAUUCACCAUCAGUACUUCUUAUGAAAUAUCUACGUAAAUAUCAAGACUCGCAGAUCAAUUUAAUCACAAAUAAACACUGGAAAAAAAAAAGUAUGUGACUGUGGCAGGAGGACACGGUUGUGCGGUGCCUAGAAAUUAGAAAAAGGGAAUACAUCUUGAACUUAGUGGACAGUGGUGGUGGCUGCAUGGCUACAAUUUAGAAAAAGGAGCAUCUUCUUAAAUCUUAAUUGUGUUCGAAAAUGGUGGCCACAACUUCACAAGUUUCGCUGACCUUGGCUGUCAUGCAUCACGGUUCGUUUACAGUAAAAUUAGACUUAAUUUUAUUUUCAAUUUUUUAUUUUAAUAACAAAGUUUUAUUCGCCUAUAAAAUAAAUUACUGAUAAAAAAUAUUAUUUUUUAAUUUUAAUUGAAUCAAUUAAUGCCAUUGAUUGUAACUAUAUAUUUAUUUCUGUUGAGUGAAUUAUAAUAAAUUUGGUUUAUGAAACAAUUUGCAGUUGGUUAGUUUCAUCCUUAAAAAUGUUUUGAUUUUUCAAAAAUGAUAAAAGCAUUUAAAUUUUAAUGGUGUGGGGAUAUAAAUUAUUAUAUGAACAUGCUCUAUUAUUGUAUCUUUUUCUUUGGUGAAUACUCUAUUUUUGUAUCUAUCACUUACAAAAACGAGUUACAUGAUUGAAAAUUGGUCUUCUUCCUAUUAUUAUUAUUAUUAUUAUUAUUAUUAUUAUUAUUUUAAAGAUCGACAUGAAUUUAAAUCAGACGUCUAAACAUCGAUUUAUCACACAUUUCUCUGCAGAACAACGUCCCGUUGGAAUUGAAUAAAAUGUCCUCGAGUUCAUGUCGUGAUAAUAUAUUGAGCAAAGCCUAAAUGUCAAUAUAUAGUAUAAGGACCCCUAAACAAUUUAGGUAACUCGCAAAGCCUCAGAUCAUAAACUGGUUAAACAUAUACAUACAUAUAUAGUAAAAUAGACUUGAGCUGCGUAUGUAUAUAUUAAUGUGAUUUAAUACUAUUUAUGUAAAAUUUAUAUAUUUUAAAAAAUUAAUUAAGUAAAAAGGGUUGGAGAAAUAUGUGACUGGAAUGUGAUUCAAAGCUCAUUAUUUUGGCCUUUGAAAAUCAUGAAUUAAUUAAUUUUUUGGAAAUUAAGAAAUAGGUGGCACAAUUUUUUACAACAUAUUAAGAAUAUGAAUUUAAAAUUAUGCAUAUUUUCUGUGAAGGCAACAAACUAAUGUGCAGAUAAAUUAACCUAUCACAGAACCACUGUACAUGGGUUCAAUUGGUGGGAUUCAAUGAGUUCUUUAGUGAUAGAUGCAGUUUUACAAAUUACAGGUUUAGAUAGGAUCUACAUGGGUUUGGUUUUAUGUCCUCCCAUAUUUUUCCUUCUUUUCAAUAAAUUUAAGGUUCUGCAGAUGAAUGAUAAUAACCGUGAUGUCAACCUAAUUGAAAUUGCUCUUGUUAUUGUCAUUCGUCUGUAUGCAUUUUUAUAAUAUAUAAAAUAAUUAGUUCUUUAUUUAUAUUGUUUUUAUUAUUUUAAACAAAUUAUUAUAAAUUAUUUUAAAAAAUUCAACUACAUAUUUAUUAAAUCUUUAUUUUUAAUUAUUAUUAAUAUUCAUAAAUAAAAUUUUGUAACAAAAAAAUCAUAAUUAUUAAUAUUUUUAAAUCAAACAAUUCAAAAAAAAAUUGAACAAAGUAUGAAUAUGAUAUAGUGAAAUAGACUAGAACCUAAGAAUUAAUGUGAAUAUUUAGUUCUAUUAAUGCAGUAGUUUUAUAUUUUAAAAAUUUCAUUGUAGAAAGUAUAGCCCAACAGCAAGUUAGGUAACACGCAAUUAAGGACUCUAACUCUAAUCGUAAAUUGGUUAUAUAGCAUAGUAUGUAUAUAGUAAAAUAGAUUUGAACCUACAUAUGUAUUUAUGUGAUAUUUAAUUCUAUUAAUGUAACAUUUACAUAUUUUAUAAAUAUUUUUUAAAGUAAAAAAUAAUUAUUAUAAAAUUAUAUAUAAUACACCUUAAAACUUAUAUUAACAAGGAAUAUAGUUUAGGGUUUAAAACAAAAUUUAAAAUUGAAAAAUUUUAAACAUAUUCUUUAUAUAUAUUGUUAGAUUUCAUCUUAAAAUUAAUUGAUACGUGAACAACAAUGAUAAGUGGUUGCAGCGGAAGCGAGAGAUCUAAGAUCAUAGCCUGUUUUGAUACAUGUUAAAUUUUAUCUCAGAACCAAUUGUUUGUCCAACAGAUAUAUAAGUUGUACUCCAAGAAAUAAAGCAGAUGUAAGACUUGAGUAUUUCUCAAAAUAUAUAUAUAUAUAUAUAUAUAUAUAUAUAUAUAUAAUAUGAUAGAUUAUUCUUUAUUUACUUUCUUUUUAAUUACUACUAUAAAUAAUUUGUUUUACAUUUAUCUACAUAUAUAUAAUUUUUAUUUUUAAAUAUUACUGUCCAUAAAAAAUAUUUUAAACAAACAAAAUUAAAAAGGUAAAAAGAACUUAUAUAUAAUAAUUUAUUUCUUUACGUUUAUCCUUAAUUAUUAGUUUGAACAACUCAUUAUAAAUUAUUUGAAAUUAAAAUUUAUUCUUUUAAAAUAAAUAAUUUUAAUUUUUAUUAAUCAUGAAAUAUAUUUUAAGUAAAUAAUUAAAAAAAGAAUUGGAUCAUAGGUAUUAACAUAACAUUUAAUGCUAUUACUGUAGUAUUCAUACACAUUUAUAAAUUAACAUAUUAUAUAUAAUACAUUCACAGUGAAAGAAAUGAAAUAAUAUAUUUCCCGAUUUUAAUAAAUGUAAUAUUUGUUAAUUAAAUUUAUGAAUUUUCUAGAAAAAUUAUCCAUGCUUAAAAUUAUAUAUAUAUAUAUAUAUAUAUAUAUAUAUGUAUAUAUAUAUAUGUAUGUAUGUAUAUACAUAACAAAAUUUAUUAUGUUGAUCAUUCUAAUAGUUUAUAAACAUAAGCUAAAAUAGAAGAAAGUAUAUGCGUAUAAUAUUAGUAUAUUAAUAUUUAGUUAUUUUAUAAUUUUUAAUUUAUUUGUAUCAUGAUUUGAUUUUAUUUUAAUUUUUAAAAUGAGAAAACACCAUAUAAGUGCUUUGUUGGUUAAUUUGAAAAUCGAGAUGAUACUUGGAUAAAUUUGAAGUCGUGUAUAACACUUUCAGAUUGAAUCAAAUUUCGGGGUUCAACCAAAAUUGUUCAAUCGGAUAAAAUCAGAAGAUUAUAAUUCAAGAGUUUUGUUUUGGUCUUGUAUGUUUUGUCACAUCGUUAUGCUUUCUGAACCAGAAUGAUUAUUUAUGAUCAAAGAAAAGGUGGUUUUUGGCGGUUGAUGGAAGUUAUUUCUUUUUAAAAAUUGUCGUUGAUGGAAGUUUUAGUAACUUCCAUGUAACUUCCAACAUUUGCCUAAACCGAACAUCUCGUUAUUACAUUAAAACAAGCGUGCACUCUUAUUUUAACAUAAUAAAGAGAUCAAUUACACUAAAAUGUCCAACAAACCUCCCCCAUUUUAGUGUAAUUACCGAUCAAAUCACCAAAGUCAUAACAUACCACAAACUACUGCAUAGAUGAAAUAUCGUGACGAUUGAAUUUCAUCUUAGCAAAUUACACGUUUCAAAUAUUCGAAUAUCAGGGUGUCACUAAGGAUUGAACCCUUUCUAUUCAUAAUGAAUACAUGAAGAUAAUUUGCACAAUAGUUUAUAACAUUACUCUUGCUCGACACUAGUUUUACUAGCCUGUGUCCCUAUCCUUCAUAAGCAUAUCAAAGCCAAGUCCCAGCUUCUUGAAGCGGCUAAACUUCAUGCUUAUAUAGGUAGUCCUUUUCUUUCUUGCACCUGCAAAUGCAAUUUUUCAAAAGAACCAUUGAGGAGUUAUACUCCAACCUCCUUAACUUACAGAACCGAACACAUUCCUUUUGGGAUACUUUCGAUGAUGUGUUCCAAUCUCUACAUGUUAAGCUUUCCACAUUGAAUUCAGCACCUAAUGUCAUAUUAGAUGGGAAUUGGGUAUCUUAACAUAAGAGAUUUCAUAUGGACUUUAAUCCUAAUCCCACAACCGACCUUCUUACGAGAUCGCUACUUAACCCUUUGGUUAAAUGAUCGGCCAAAUUAUGCUGAGUUCUCACAAACUCAAAUUUGGUGUCUUUUUUGUGACAAAGUUCAUAUGGGGUAACCUUAUUCCUUUUGUUAGGAAUUCGGUUCAACAAGUAACAGGCUGUCAACAUAGCCUCACCCCAAAAUCCUUCACUUAAACCCGAAUAGGAUAACAUGGAAUUCACCAUUUCUUUCAAGGUUCUAUUAUUCCUUUCGGUUACACCAUUCUGUUGUGGUGUAUAGGGAGCUGUAGUUUGAUGUAUUAUUCCAGUAGAUUGAAAAUAAACCAGAUCAUAAUACUCAUCUCCCCUAUCCGUACGAAGAGUUUUGAUUAGCCCAUUUUGAUGAAGUUCUACCUCUUUCUUAUAAAUUUUAAAUUUAUCAAGAGCUUCAUCUUUUGUAUUUAAUAAAUAUGCAUAACAAUACCUUGAUCCAUCAUCAAUAAAAGUAACAAGAUAUUUUUUAUGACCUAAUGAUGGAGUAGCAUGCAAAUCACACAAAAUCACUAUGAAUAAGGUCUAAGACUUUAGUCUCACUUUUAACAUCCUUAAAAGAUUUCCUAGUGGUCUUGGUCAACAUGCAAGUUUUGCAUUUUUCAAUGUUCAUAUCAAAAGGAGGAAUCAUACUUGUUUUUGACAUAUCUUUUAAUCUUUUGUAAUGAACAUGUCCUAAUCUAGCAUGCCAAAUUUCUGAUUUUGUCAUAUUAGUUAUAGAACUACACGAGGCCAUACAAACAGAUUCAUGAACAAAAGGAACAUCAAUGUUUAAUUUAAACAUUCCAUUACAACGAUAACCAAAUCCAACAAACGAACCAUGUCUUGACAAGAUGUACUUGUCACUUUCAAGUACUUGCUUGAAACCACAAUUAUUUAAAACCAUACCAGACAAUAAGUUCUUACAAAUACCAGGUACAAAUAAGACAUUAUCCAAAUACAAACUUUUUCCGGAAGUAAAAACUAAAUUAACACAACCUAAUCCUAGGAUUGGUUCAGUUGCAACAUUGUCCAUCUUCACAAUAGAGCCAUCAUCGAUUGGUCUAAAUUCCUUGAACCAACGAUGAUCUUUGCACACAUGGCUUGUUGCUCCCGAAUCAAACCACCAAGCAACGUCAUCAUCCUGCACAUAGAAUGCAUCAGAUAUUAGUGAUACAUAAUUUGAAUUCGUAUUCGAAUUAAAAUUAUUCACUACAAUCUGACCUUGUUGCUUUUCAGGAUCAUUAGACCCACUUGGACCAGCCUUGUUCUUUCCUUUGAACACCCGGCAAUCCCUCUUUAAAUGACCAGGUUUCCCACACUUCCAACAUGACAAUUUUGUCUGUUUGUUUGGACCUUUGUUCUUAUUUCCUAGAAAUUUUCGUUUGUUACCUUUAGCAUUGUAAUUUUGCUUAACUGUUCCACUUUCCUCUACCAUAUUAACGGAAGAGGAAUCUGCUACGGUUUUAUCAUUGACUUUGUCAAUUUCCUGAGCCCUCAGCGACUCCUCAAUCAUGAAAUGACUACCGAGUUGAACCAGAGUCAACUCUUCCUUCUUAUGUUUCAAGGUAUGCUUGAAGUCUUUCCAAGAAGAAGGUAGUUUAUCAAUUAUAGAUGAAACUGCAAUGGAUUCAUCCAUUUUCAAAUCAUGUUGAGUAAACUGACCCAAAAUCCGCAACAGUUCAUUAUAUUGCUCCAUAACAGGCCUCGAAUCAAUCAUUUUGUAAUUAAAGAAAUUACUAACUAAGAAUUUGUUACUUGAGGCAUCUUCUGCCAUAUACUUGGAUUCAAGAGAGUCCCAUAAUUCCUUAGUAGACUCAACAUUUUGAUAAAUAUCAAAGAGAGAGUCAGACAUACCGUUCAGAAUGUGUCCACGACAAAUGUAAUCGUCGUUCUCCCAUUUCGAACGCUUCCUUGUUUGAUCCAGAGUUUCGUCUUCCAUAUACACCGGCAUCGGUAUACUCAGCACAUACACCACAUUCAAUGUUGUCAAGAGAAAGUGCAUCUUCUUCUGCCAUCUUCUGAAAUCCUGCCCUUCAAACUUGUCCAACUUCGCAAACUUGCUUGUCAUCUUCGAACUAUCGUUCGUCAUCUCGAAAACUUUGAUUCAAUCUUUUGUUGGUUAAUUUGAAAAUCGAGAUGAUACUUGGAUAAAUCUGAAGUCGUGUAUAACACUUUCAGAUUGAAUCAAAUUUCGGGGUUCAACCAAAAUUGUUCAAUCGGAUAAAAUCAGAAGAUUAUAAUUCAAGAGUUUUGUUUUGGUCUUGUAUGUUUUGUCACAUCGUUAUGCUUUCUGAACCAGAAUGAUUAUUUAUGAUCAAAGAAAAGGUGGUUUUUGGCGGUUGAUGGAAGUUAUUUCUUUUUAAAAAUUGUCGUUGAUGGAAGUUUUAGUAACUUCCAUGUAACUUCCAACCGUUGAUGGAAGUUUUAGUAACUUCCAUGUAACUUCCAACCUUUGCCUAAACCGAACAUCUCGUUAUUACAUUAAAACAAGCGUGCACUCUUAUUUUAACAUAAUAAAGAGAUCAAUUACACUAAAAUGUCCAACAUGCUUAAGAAGCAAUGCGCCAAAAUACUUAAAAAAAUGUGUAUCUCGUAUCAACACGUAUAUUAAAAUGCAAAUGUACAUAAUUAUCAAUUUCAAUUAUUUCAUUGCGUUGCGUUGAAUUUCCAAACAUUGUCUUAAUUAAUUGUCAGAAGUAAAUACUUUAGAAUCAAUGGGAGCGAGGAUAAAGUAAAAAGGAAAUGGAGUGCUUACUUCAAAUAAAAUAGAUAAAUAAAUAAAGACGUAAGUAAUAUGAAAUGGAUAUAUAUUUGACGAAAAACCUAAUUUUAGCCACUAAUAGAUGUUAGAAUAGAAAAACUUUUUCAAAAUGGUGCGCGUUGGAGUCCAAUAACAUGGCUGAAAAAUAUGUCUUUUAGUUAAUGGAGUGGAGUCACUAUACUAUAUAGUAUACACACAUGUGAUUCUGAUGAUGUUCGGUUUAUCACUAACAUAAAGAAAAGGACAUCUUUGGGUUAAUGGAGUGUGAAAUUUUCACUAUAUUAAUUGAAAUCUAUUCGUUUGUUCUUCUGAUUGGAAUCGUGAAAAGAAGUUUUCCAUUUCACUAUAUUAAUGGACUAUGGUUCAAUAAACACGCAGCAUGAUUUUGCCAAAAUUAACUCUAAUUUAUUUUCUUCAGCUCUGCUCGGGUUUACACGCACUCUAGUCUUCAAAAUUUAAAAAUAAAUAACACAAUUCUUUUUUUUUUUUAAAGUGUACACUUUAGUCCAUUUAUAUAUCACUUUUUUCAUCAAACUGUCAUGUUUUAAUCACGUAAUAUUUUCUGUACUGAACUAUUAUUCAUAGGACCCUUCAAAUGUCACAAUGCACUUGAUCUUGAGACUUCAAAGAUGUAAUCAUAUAAUUUUAGCAAUGUUUUGACAAAAAGAAUCAUAAAAAGACAAAUGCAUCUUCAAAUAUUUAGGAAUCACACCGGACAUUUUCAAUGUGCGAGGUAAUUUAUGUGUACACGAUCCUAUCUUGAGAUGGUGCUUUAGGAUUUUUCCUAAGUUGAAGGGGGGUUUUGUGGUGUGUAGCAAUUCUUUCAACUUUCAUGUAUUGGCUGGCACUGGAUAUUUAAUAAUUAAUAAGCCAAAAUCAUUAAAAAUAAUUAUAAUUAAAAUAAUAUACAAAAUAAGUUUUUAAAGAUAAUGAAAGAUGGAACAAUCCAACAUCAUAGAUAGAUAGAUGAACAGUUUCGACAAGAAGGAUGAAAGAAUUUAUGCAAGCAAGCUGUAGAAGUUGUAAUACUAAUAGCUUCUUCUUCUUUUUUUUUUUUUCUUUCUAUUUUGUCUAAUUUAUAUGGUUAGCUUGAUUUUGGGAAAAUAUACAUGAAUGAAAAAGAGAGGACAGUUGUUUCCAAAAAAAAUAAAAAGAGAGGACAGAAGAGGGAAAAUAGUUAUUAUCUUUCUAUUUGUAAGUAAAGAGAGAAAGGGAUCAUUAAUUUUAAUGACUUCCACCAGUUUUUUUCUCAUUUCGAAUAUUUAACCCAACUUUUAUUUUGUUUUGCUUUUUGCUUGGUUAACCACCAAUUUCUUUAACUACACGUGUGUUCCACACUUUCCCUACUCCUUUGGCUUCUUGUUCGUACGUGUCGUGCACUUUGCAUUUCUAUUUUUUGUUUUCAGGAUCUCUUUUUUUGGGGUGAAUUUCGAAAUCUUUUACACACAUAUAUUCUCUUAAAUAUUACUAUUCUUCGUAGUGAUUCUAUAUUUAAAAACAUUUUUUUUAAUUCGACUAAAUGUUUAUAUUUCCUCAACAGUAAAUAUUUUAUAUCUGUAUUCUUUUUAUAGAACUUCUUUUACAUCAUAAUUUUUUGUCUUUUAAUUUUUUUUAUUAUAAAAAAGUAGCUUUAUUGUAUCUUAUUUUCAUGUUGGGUGUUUAUGUCAUUUCACAGAUAUAUCUUUUUCUUUCUUUCUUUCUAUUUUAUAUACAAUAAUAUCAAGAAAACAAUAUUUAUAUUUUUUUUUCAUUUUUCUCCUACUAAAUAACCUAAAAAUUUGUCUUAUUUUAUACUUUCCUUUUGUUUACUUAUAUCUCGAGUUCUUUCUUAAACUAAAUAAAUCCUUAAACUUUAAAAUUAGAUAGAAAUUAAUGAAUUAAGAAGAUGUUCAUCUAUCCAACAUUAGGUGUAAUAUGUAAAACCUGGAAAAAUGUCAACAACUUUAUAUAAAAAAUAUUAGUAUAAAUUAUAUGUAUCUUUUACUAAAAAAAAUAAUUAUCAUACGUGAUAUAAGUCAUCUCGUUCCAAUCAUAUUCAUCAUACAUUAAAUAAGAAUGAAAUAGAUUAACAUGUUUCGAGAGUGUUCAUGAAAUAUAACUCAUCUUAAUUAGAAGUGAGUCAGUGCUGAGUUAUAUCAAGUUAACUUGUUAAUAUUUUAAAAAAUAUUAAAAUAGAGAAAAUAAAAAAAUAACCAUUAUAAUAAGAAGAUAGACAAACAGAGUGAAAAAAAAAAACACACACACACACAAAAUCACGUACGCCUUAAAAAGUGAUUUCUGUAAUCCUUUCCCGCUUUAAUUUAGCACUAAAAAUGAAUAAUGCUGAUAACCAUACAUAUUAUUUUCUGUUUCUUUUUUCACAGUGUUUUAUUUUCUUAUGGUAUUAGUUACUUUUUUUUUAAUUCAGCAACUUUUUAUUUUCAUACCUCUUUUUCUUUCUACUUAUGUCGACCCGAUUUACGGGUGUACGGUGACAGGUACCCGAAACUGUGCAAAGAAAAUGCGUGUUUCCAAUUAGUAAUGCAAAGGACCUGUCUUUUCAUCGUAUAAAGUAGAAGUAUUGGGAUCAGAAUCAGAAUCCCACUACAAGUAGUAAUUUACUAAAGUAAUUGAGUACUGUUAAAAAUAAAAUGAUGAUAAAAAAAAAAAUUAAAGCAAUGUUGUAAAUUAUUAAAAACAAAAAUGUUGCUAAUCGGUAUUUUAAGGAUUCAAAGAUUAAAAAAAUAUAUUUAGUAUAAAAAUUAUAGAAAAACUCAAAAAAAAAUUAUGGACACGUAAUUUUAUGCAUUUUAACAAAAAAAUAUUUUAAUUUCUUAAGAACAUUUAUUAAUAUUUGCCUAAAAAUAAUUAUAUUCAAAAUUUCAACAGUUUUAACUGUAAUUUAUUUUUUUCUAAAAGAAAAUUUGUGCUUUAAAAAAAGAGAAAAUAUAAUAUUUAAAUCACUCAUAAAAGAGAGCAUAAAGAAUACUUUUAACAAAAAAAAUAAAAAAUAAAAGUGUAAUAUAUUUGCAUUCAUUAAAAAAGAUUAUAUAUUUUAUUUUUAACACAUGAAAUGGAGAAUAAUAUAAUAUUUGCAUCUCUCAUGUGAUGAUAGUAUAAAGGAUAUUUAGGUAAUAUUUUUCUUAGCAAAAACUAGUAGAAAAGUUAAAAAGGAAUAUGGUGUUAUAUAUUUAAAUUUGUCAAGGAGAACAAAAUGUAUAAUUUUAAUAUAAUAUAGAAGAACACCGUAAUAUUCAUGUUUGGUAAGAGAAGAAAGUGUAACUUAUCCUACUAACAAAGAUCUAUAAUUAAACUCUUGUGUAAAAAAUAAAAAAUUUCUACAAAAAAAAAAAAAAAGCUGGCUUUCCAUUAUAGUAUGAAUUCUCCUUGUUCAUUUAACCAAAAUUAUUUUUUUAAAGAAUAUACCUAUGUCUUUGAGAGAGAGAGAAAUGGAAACAUAAUGCAUUAUAUAUCAAUUAUAUUGUUUUUAGGUGAACCAUAUAUAUGCACAAACAUGAGAUAAAAUUAUUCACCAACCAUAUUAUACUAUAUAGGUUGUUGUAGUACAUUAAUAUAUGAUAAGAGAAUUUUGACUAAUUAAAAAUACAAUUUUAAGAAUUUUUUGUGAUAUAGAACAAAUAAGGAUGUAUUAAGAAAAAUACAAAGAAUUAUAUUCUAUGACAAAAAAUGGAAUCUCAAUCCUACAUCUCUGUGCUUCUGGGAACGAGAAUUUUGUAAUUAAAUGGAAUUGAAAGUAUGAUACUCUGUUUAUCAUUAAAAAAAUAUGAAAAUUCUCUUGUUCCAAAAUUAAAUAUAAAAUAAAGUUGAUUAAAUUGUGAUUUUGAUAUUCCUAAUUUUUUAAAUUUAAGAUUUUGAUUUUGCUGGAUUUUAAUUAUAAUAUUUGAUCUUCUAGUUUUAUAAAUUAGUGAUUUUGAUCAUCUUAAUAAAUUAUUAACAAAUAAUUAUAAUUAAUUGAUUUAUUAAGUUAAUUAUAAAUUAAUCAAAACUAUUAAUUAUUAAAAAAUUGAGUAAAAAUUAUUAAUUUAAAUUUUUUAUAAUAUAUUCCUCCUUUUUUCACAAAUAGCUCUUAUAUAUUUACUAUCACACAUGACUUUACUAACAUUUACGUUAGAUUUAAUAGUCUUUUAUUAAAAAAAAAUAAUGAUUAAUAAUCUAUUAAGGAGUCCUAAAUCAUGUAUUUAAAAAAUUAAGGAGAAUAAAAUUACAAUUCAUCCAAUAAAGUUGUAUUCCUUCUCACUAAAUAUAGAAUAAAACUUUAUUGAAUAUAUGUAUAAGCUGUAUUCCAAAUAAUUUGUGAGAAAUGAGAUCGAAUAAUCUCCCCAUGGGUGGUACCGUAAAGUAUAUCGAUGCUUAAGUCAAGAAGAAUUUUAAUAUAGUAAAGGAAAAAGUGUGCAUACCUAACCUUAGUGUGACUCCUAUAUUUAUAUGGUGAUCCACAGGGCGUUCACGAUUUUUUUUUAUUAGUAAAAAAGAUAUUAGAGAAAUGUUAACAAACUCUUUUAAAUAAACUCUUUAUUAUUGGAUAAAUCUUUUAAAUAAAAUUUUUAUUAUUGGAUAAAAUUGAUCUAUUGAAAAUUACAAAUUUAGCAGAAUUUUUUUUAAUAAAAUUUAGCUGAAUCUUCUCAUUUAAUAUUUUUCAAUAAAUUUUAACCAAUAAAAAAUAUAUAUAUUAGAAUUUUUAAAAAUGUUAUUAAUACUCCUCAACAUAUUAUAGCAGGGUUGCAUAAUUUUCAAAAAACACUUUCCGGUCCAAUUCAACAAUUGAGAUAAAGAUGUAGCAUAAAUCUUAAAAAUUAGCUUUGAAAUAUUCGAAAUGCACUCAUUAAAUACAACCAUCACUUUUUUUUCUCAGAAAUAUAACCAUAACUUAAAUCAUUUAAUUAUAUAGGUCUUUCGGGAAUAAUUUUUUUACGAUAUUAUUAAUUAAAAUUAAUCAACUUAAUAUUUUUAUUAGUAUUAAUAAAUUAGGUUUUUUAUAUAUAGGAAAAAAAGAAUUACUAAUUUAUAUUCGCAUUAGAUUUCAGUAUAUAAGUCAACAAAGUUAAGUUCAAUUAUUAAAAGAGAAAUGGCAAUAUAUAAUAAACUGGUUAUAGGAAUAUGUGAUCAAAUGCUAAUAUAAAAUUAUUUUAUAUUAUUAGUAUAUAACCUUUAAAUUCAAUUAAAAAAAUUGUUUAGAGAUGAAAAAUUUAAUUAAUCCAAAUUUUAUUUACAGUAGCAUUUAAUUUCAUUAGAAAUUAAUUAUUAUUUUAUGUCAUAAAUUUUGUGAAUAUAAUCAUCUUUAUGUAUAUUAAUUAUUAAAGAUGCAUCUCUCUCAUUUAUAAUAUAUAUUUUCUUGAAAUUAAUAUUAAAGUAAUAUUUUUUUUCUUAACUAGUUAUUUAAUUUAAGUUUCAAUUUUUUGUUUUUUAAUCAAUGCUUAAAUUGUUCAGUUAAUAUUAAACAUAACAAGAUAUUUGUAAAUUACUGAUAAAACAAUUUUUUAAGGCUUAAUUAUUAUUUUUUUAAUAAUAAUUGUUUGAUACAUAUAGUGAUAGUAAUUUUCAUAAAGAUAUCCAUAAAUAGUUAUAGUAAUGUCAUAUAAUGGUUUGUAAGCAAAAUUUAUAAUAAUAUUUUAAAUUUAAAAAGUUAUUUCCAUAAUCAUUAAAUUUUUAUAGUAAUUCUAGUAGUAAUCAGAAGUAGAAAUCGAACUAAUGAAAGUUUCAAGAAGAAAAAGAGAUUGAAAAACUAAAAGGUUUAAAAAAAUGCAGUGAAAUAAAAAAACAUAAAUUCAUUAAAAGUGAGAAUAAAUGCAUAUACAAUGACCUCUUGAACUAAUAAUCAAUUUUGAUGUGUGACAUUGUUGGUGUUUAAGGAUUUAAGUAAUAAUGAUUCAAUUUAUCAAAAAUUAACUGUUAAAUGUCUUAUUAAUAACCUUCUAAUACUAAUAAUUGAAUUCUAUGAUUUGGACACAUAUAUAACAUUAUUCCUAAAUACACAUAUGGAAUAUUUACUUGAUGACUUUGUGUAAUUUAUUCUAUAACCACUUCAAGUGAUAUUUUGAAAUUCAAAACUGUUUUGCUUAUGAACAAUUUUAAACUCCACAUGAGCUUUAAUAGAGUCAUCAAAAACAUCCAUUUAUGUUGAAUGAAUCAUUUCAUUGAUGAAUAUAAUUUUUCAAAUUUUACUCUUAGUGUUGAUUAUUCUUUAAUACACUCUUAUUUGUCAUCCAAAACAAGUACAUUGAAAUUAUAUCAGUUUUUUAACUUAGACAAAUUUCAAAUAACAAAGAUAACAAAUAUAAAACACUUCAAAAAAUAUAUAAUGAUAUAAAAGAACCUCCUACUCUGAAUCUGAGUGCAUUCUAGUUAAAUUUAUCUUUUAUUACUUAAACUAAUUUUGACAAAUUAUAAAACUAACAUUUUUAAUUGCAUAUAAUUUGUUAUAAUUUUUUUAUUAAUUAAAUCAGUUUUCUUUUAUUUUUUUUACUAUUUUAUAGUUUAACAGUUUACUUGUGCACUUGUACCAAACACUUGCUAAUUAAGUUAUAAGUCCGAAGUUGUUUUUGGAGGGAAGAGGCAUUGAGAAGUGGGGUCGUUGUCUUGUUGAGAGUUGAAUGGGUGUUUUGGCUCUUAACGAAAUGAAACGAAAAGGUAUGUGUUGUGUUGUGCUGAGAAAGGUGGGCGCAAUAAAAAAAAAAAAUCUAGUUGAGGAAAUUAAUAUUUAUUGCUUCAGGAAAUGUUGAGGAGCUUACUAAGUAGUGAAAAAACAGGUAAAUAAUCAACAAAAGGACACAAAAUCUUUAAUUGGAAAAAUCCUUUAAUAUGAGAGGUAUAAAUCACAUGUAUUUUUUCUGAAAUUUCGUGUAAUUUUACAAACUUUUUAAUAUUUAUAUCAACAUUUCUUAUAAAGAGAUUUGGUGUAAUGUUUUUCAAAUAAAAUAAUUAAGGAAGAUUAGUGUACUAUAUAAGUUGUUAGAAAAAAGUCUAAUAUAUAAAGAGUAUUAGUGUAGUAUUUUAAAAUAAUUAAAAAGGUAGUGUAAAAAUAAAUUAAAAAAAAUUAUUGUGCAAUCUUACAAAACUUCAAGAGAUAUUUCAUAUUACUCUAAUUUACUCAAAAUCUACGAAGAAUCUCUCAUCAAUAAAAAUAUAACAACUGCAAUCUAAAAAAGAUGAACAAACAGAAAUAAGAUCCAAAAAAUUCUCACAUUUAGCAACUUUCCCUCCCAAAACAAAUUGCACGCUGCAAUAAACAAAGGCUUUGCACCUUCCUGUUAUAAAGGUAAAGCCCCUGAAAAAUAAUGCCUUGUCCUUUUUUAUAUUUAAAAAACUAAAGAGUAAUGGGCUAACACUAGAGAAGGAAAAUUAGUCCAACAUAUGUUGUUGGGUUUCUUUAGAAGAUGGGUGGGGGAAUUUCUAUUCACACCCCUCUCUAUGAUUGGUUUUUUAUAUUUUCAAAAUACCCCUGUUUUCUCUCACCGUCCUCCCCUCCCACCCCCACCAUGUGAACCUUCCCCUCAACUUUGUAUUUUUUUUCCACAUAUUUUAUGAAAAUUAGUUUUCAUAAUAUAAAAAUUUGCAUGACAAAGUGUAGUUUUCAUAGUGAAUGAAAAAAAUUACAUUUAAGAAUGUGUUUAAGUGUACGUCACUUUCCCAAAAAAAUAGUCCAGAAAACUAGUAGGGUGUGAAGAGGAAAACGGAAGCUGUGAAUAGCAUGAUGCUGUACCCCAAUUGUGUAAUCCACAAACAAAAUUUUGUAAAUGGAACCUAAUUCUUAUAUGUAUCAUUGUACUGUUUAUCUUAGAACAAGUUAUUCUGUAAUUUAUGGGUUGUUUUUAGGGAUUAUAGAGCUGUUCUAUUUUUAGGUGGUUUCUCUUUUAAUUAGGAAAAUUCUUUUGCUCUUUUUGGUGAGCUAGUAGGGGCUAUGGUAGCUAUUGAGACCGUCGAUGUGAGAGGAAGGAAGGUUUCUUUUGCAGCAGCUUCUUGUAGUGUCAUAUUGACUUCUUUAAUCUCCAAAGAUGCAAGUCUCACAUAAUCUUUCAUAGAAAGCAUCAAGCAUGUGCAUUUUUCCUCUACACUUCAAGAACCUUAAUCUCUACACGUGUUUCAACAAGUGUGGCCUCUGGACUAGGGCAUAGUUUAAGGUCAUACUAAUUCUUUAAAGCCACUAAUUUCAUCAGUGGGGCUUCUAUUUCAAUUGUUUGCUAUAGUGAAAUUCUUAAUAAUAAGUUAAGGAUUAGAUAUUGUAAGAUGAAUUAAUAUAAAUCUAUGCUGUUGUUUCUUUCUUUUGUCUCUUGCAUUUGAAUAUUUGAUAUUUGGUUAUUAACCUAAAAAUCUAAGAAAAAAGUUUUGUUUUGUGUAAAAAAAAAUAGUCAAAGUAAGUUUUUCUAAAAUAUUUUUUUUCUUCAUUGGAUAAAGUUGUCUUUGAAAAUUAUAUAUUUUUCUUUCUUCCUACUUUUUGUCACAUCUAUCAAUUUUUCUGUAAUUUUCCCGAGUGACCUUGUUAGCAUUUGAGCAUUAUUUUCAACUUUUUGAGUACAAAUGUGAGGUAAAAUCUUAUAUCAUGUAAGAAUGAGAAGGUUGAGCAUCAUAUGAGUGAAAGUAAAACCCAUAAACUCAAACCUUAAAAUUUUGGAUUAAAAUAUGAUGUUAAGUUUACUUAUAUGAUUGUUCAUUGUCCAUUGGUGUAAAUCUCUUCGGUGUUUACUCCCCUCGAUUGCACAACAAUUGGUAUCAAAACUUGGUUAAUCUUGUAGCCUGAUGACCAAAAGUAUCAAAGAAGCUUAAGGAAGUUGAUGAUAGAUUUGUGUAGGGUCCUUAUGUCAAAACUCUACUUAACGAUAAUGAGAUGGAUCCUUUGCCUGAGAAUCCCUUAUAUUAAAAGUCUUUUUAGCAAUGGAUCUAGGUAGUGCGUCCUAUGGGUGGAACAACGGUGCAAAUAUCUAGAGUACAUGGGCUCUAAUAGUCACCAUGAAAUACUCGUAGAUGAUAAUAACUUCCACUCGAGAGGGAUGCUACCAUGUGGAAGAGUCUCACACUUGAGGAAGAAACUAUUAGAGUACAAGUGUAAGGUAAAGUCUCACAUCGUAUAAGAAUGAGAAGGUUGAGUAUCAUAUAUCUAGAAACAAGACUCAUAAACUUGAGUCUUACGAUUUUAAGUUAAAAUAUAAUGUCAAAUUUACUUAUAUGAUUGUUCAUAAUUUAUUGAUAUAAAUCUUUCUAAAAAAAAUACACCUAAAAUCCCCACAAUGUACUCAGUAGAAGUUUCCAAUCCACCACUUUUAAAACAUGUCAGAAGACACUAUACUCUAGUGAGGAGUGACACUCAAAUGAUUCAAGGCUUUGGCUUCAAUGUAGCCAAAAAGGAAAAGAGAGUGGCUUUUGGACCUCAAUUAUAUACGUGCUAUGCUACAGCAACUAGCUGAGUAGAAAAGUUCCCAGAAAUGUGAGCACUGAGAGCUCUUAUCAGCAAGUUACCAACCAACAAUAGGGCAUCUAAUCGGUGAAUCUAUUAUAAUUUUGCCUCCACUUCAUUCUUGAUCCAAAUCAAAAGGAAUAUUUAUAGAUUCUAUAUUCAUUCACUCCCUUUUCCACAUCAGCAUCACAUACUCUGCAUAUUCUUGUCUAAACAUUUUGAUUUGUUGGUUACACGCAAUGCCACACUGCUACCAGUGAAAGGUAUAUAACUCACUAUUACUACUAUAUACCAUCUUACACAGCAAGGCUCCCAUCACUCUAAAAGUUUCUCAAUUAAAAAUUAAACAAACUCAUAAAGUGGAUCACAAAGAAGAUAUUACUUGUGCUAGUGUGUAAAAAAAAGAUAUUACUUUUUCUAGUCAAGAGAGCCAUAGUUUAUUCUAAACCAAUGGGUAAAUGUUUUCUCUGGCCUUUUAAAAUGGGAUCUUAAUGAGUAUGAUUUGUUUAAUUAUUUUAUACAUUUAAUCAAUUACCUUUAAUGACUUUUUCGUUUGCCAUUUUUUCCCAUGUCCUUGUUAAUAAGUUAUUGAAAUUAAUGUCUUUGUCUAAUAAGCCUAAUUUAAAAAAUAUUCAGUUAACUUCCUAGGUGAUAGGUCAUUGUUUAAGGGAGUAACCUUUUUCCAGCGAUGAUGACAGCAGAGCAAGGACUAACCUUGCGAAUUUUACUUCCUAGGCGAUAGGGCAUUCUCGCACAAGUGAUCCUGCAAAAUAAUUUCUUAUUUUUAAACAAUAAAAUUAUUUGGAUGUUUCAGGUAAGCAUGCAUUUUUUAAAUUGUAUUAUCAGAGGGUGGGUUUCAAUUUAACUCAACUUUAUUAAAUCGAUUUAUAACGUGAUCUUUUAUUUAUAUUUUUAUAAGGUGAUCUUUUUUUCAUAUAAAGAAAAAAUAGUAAGCACGUUAUAAUGGCACGAGUCAUCCUUGUUUCUAUGGUUUGCUUACAAAACUUAUCAUUUGCUUAGAAAAUAAAAAUAUCGUAGCUUUUGUUUGUUAUAUCUAAAACUAGGCCUGGUGGUUAGGCUCAUGGUUCGUGUGAGUCAUGGAUCAAAUUUUAUUAAAAAUUCAUAAUUAUAUAAGAUUUUAAGAUCACUUUGCAUAAUUUGCGAGUUGCGCGGAUUUGAACGGUGCGUCAUCCCACAAUCACUAAUUAAGUUUAAUUUAAAUUUAAUUAAUCUUAAAAAUUUAAUUCAAUUUUUUUUAUUUAUGUUAAAAAUUUAUUUAGUUGUGUUAAAAUUUUUAUAAUUAAAUAUUUUUUAGAAAUUUAUUAAGAUUUUUAAUAUAUAUAUAUAUAUAUAUAUAUAUAUAUAUAUAAUUGAGUGUGAUUGAUUAUUUUUUUUAAAAAAAUAUAUUUAUUUUAAAAUUACAAUUUUUUUAUAAAAAAAUUAAGCCCACAGAUCAAUCUAUUUAGUGUGUAGGAUCCACGGGGCAGAAACAGAUGGAUAUAUUAAAUUUGUAUAAAAGUAGGGGAGCAUUCAACGAUGGUUCUUGUGCUGUACUGCGUGGAGUUCUUUAACUCGGGCUAAAUCAGUAUGAAACCGCGGUAUCUUGUUUUUCUUUAAAGUUGUGAAUUGUGCAUGUCGUCAAUUCUAACCUGCCAUCUUCAAAAUUACUUGUAUUUGAAUGAGUUUAAGUUUAACUGUGGUGUAUUGUGAGUUUAAACAUUUUUAUAUCAUUAAAAAUUGGAAAUAUUUUAUAUAAUAUUUAAAAUAUUAUUAUUAAAAUUAAAUUUUUUAUCAUUUAUAAAAAUUUAUAAUUGGAUAAAAAUAUUAAAUAUUUUUAAAAUUAUUAUAGUAUUUCAAUUUUAAAUUCUUUCAAUAAAAUGUUUUUUUUUUCUAAUGAUGAAUAAUUUGUGACAGUAGAAAAAAUAAAAAAUGUACAUAUAUUUAAUCUGUACACAAUAAUUUCUAUUAAAAAUUUAUAAAAAAAAUUGAGUUAUGCGUUAAAUUACUUAUAACUUAUGUCAAUACUCAAUAGCCUUGUUUGUUGUUUUUGAAAGCAUCAAUAGCAUUGUAAGUUCACAGUACAAAUUUAUUUAUUUAUUUUUAUAUGUAAAUGAUCGGAAAUGAAACAACAAUUUCCAGGCAAUUGUUAGGUCAAUUAUUUAGACGUUUUGCUCUUUAACGUGUGCUGCACUCCAAAGAAUCCAUAUUUUCAUGAUUGAUAUUGAUUAAAGAAAAGAAAUACCAGACCAGAAAUUUCACGUAAAUUGCUGAGGAAAUUCCUCCUCAAUUACAUAACGCCGUCGCAUGACAAAUUUAUAUACCAAAAAGGUACAAGAGUUUCAAGUGUCUAAACAUAGAAAUUUAUAAAAUAUGCCUUUGUUAAUAUUUUGAAAAAGGGAAUAUAAGGAUGUGUUUGGUUUGCAUUUUUAUUUUUUGUUUUUAUUUUUUAAAAAUUGUUUUUAUUUUUAUUUUACUCAAAAUAAAGUUUCUGUUUUCAACUUAAAACAUUAAAAACGAUAUUUUAUUAUUUUUAUUUUCACUAAAAAUAUUUUUAAAAAUUCAACCAAACAUAUUUUUAUCAUCAUAAUUUAUGAUUGCUUAACGGGGUAGGUACUUGGUUACUUCUUAUGCAGCCUUAUGGAGAGUCACGCGUCCACAUUGACAUUUACAAAAAUAACAAUUGAAUAUUUAAGAAACCCACGACAAAUCGAUUGCAUUUUGGUCAAAGUCGUCUCGAAUCCUGUUUUCUCAAGUCUUCUAUUGUGACAAUUUAAAUAAUCAUCGAGUGAAAUAAUAUUUCAAAAAAUCUAGCAUAAGAUUUCUUAGCUACAAUAAAAAAAUUAAAAUAAAUUUUUUUAUGCAAUAAAUUUUUUAACUAUAUAGUUUUUAUUUAAAAUCAAAAUUCUAAGAUAUGCAUACCAUGCACGAAAUAUAUUGAGGAUAGCCCUAUAAAAUAUAUUAAAUGUUUAAUAGUUAAAAAUUUGUUAAAAAUAAGAAGACUAGUCAUGUAUCAAAUAGUAAUGAAAUAUUUAAAUUAUUAAUUACUAUUGUGCGGUAGUAUAAUUAAUAUGUUGAAUAUUUGAUUACUUAUUAUAAUAAAACAUGAAAAAUAUGAUUAAUAUUUUAUUUGUAUACUAUAUUAUAAUGCUAAAUUUUAUUUCCUACAAUUAAUAAUGACACUGAGUAGUUCUAAAUUGAGUAUUCUAGUACUCCUUUAAUACUCACUUUUAAAAAAUUCUUAUAUUGAGACUUAUAUCCGUGUAGAAAAUAACUUUAAUAUCACGUCAUUUUCUAUUGGAUAUCUAUAAUUAUUAUUCACAUUUUAAUAAAUAUAAAAUUGAUAAAUAAAUAAUAUUAAUUAAAAAUACAAUAAUUAUUAAAUUAAAUUCUCGUUAAAAAAUAAUCAUUAUCACAAAACAGUAUAAAAAUUAAUCUUAUUCAAACAUAGUUUACAAAACACAAUAUUCUAGCAAAUAAGGAACAUGAUUUUUUUUGUGUGAAUUAAGAAACAUGAUUUAUCCCUUACUUAUUAUUAUUAUGGAUAAGGUUGGAUACUACUUCACCGUGUCCUAUAAAAUAUUCAUUGAGAUAAAAAAAACUAAAAUUUCUUUAAAAAGAUAAAAACAAAUAACUUACAUUCUAGUCCACCUUAUGACAUGUAUGAAUCUUUGAUAGGAUGACAUGUAUAAACAAAGUUAUCAUUUAUAAGAAUAAGAAUAUUAUUUUCAAUAAAAAAUGAGUAAUGUUAUUCCUAAUUAUAUAUAUAUAUAUAUAUAUAUAUAUAUAUAUAUAUAUAUAUAUAUAUAUAUAUAUAUAUAUACUACUUAAUAAUAUUCUGAUUUCUAAUUUAACGUGAUUAUAUAGCCUCUUAAAAUAAAUUGAUUUUCGCAUCACACAAACUUUAGUAAAUAUGUAUAGUUAAAUUCUUAAACUUAUUUGUUUAUAGAAUUAAAUUCUUAAACACAAUUACUUGGAAACUUUCAGAUGAUUGAUUUAUUUUAAGAAUUGAAGGUUGUUAACUGAAAUAGUUAUUGAUUGUAAAAAAGAAAAACUAAAAUAGUUAUCAAAUUAAAGGUAUUUUUAAUUAUUUGGUUGUAAGAUUUUUAAUUUUUGAUCGUUGCAAGAUCUUAAUCUCUUGUAAUAUUUUCAAUUUACAUUUUUUUGUUACAUUUUUUCACUUACAUAAAAAAAAGGAUAUCAGCUAAUUUAUAAUUAUUGUAUAUUACGUGUGAAAAUGAGGACUUUUAGAUAUGAAUGAGUAUUAUAUUAUGUAUUUCUAAAAAUACUAUUUUUUUCAUAUAAAUUUUAAGUUAUUUUGCUAUAUAAUAUAAUUUUCAAGUUUAUAUUUUUUUUAAAAUAUAUUAAUGUUAGUGAGGAUUAUGUUAUAUAUUAUGAAAAAAUAUAUUAUAUAUUAUAGAUGAUAUAUCUUUUUUUAUUGUUGCUUGAUUUGAUAUUAAAAUUCACGUUAUUGUUAUUUUUUUCCUUAUGUCAAUUGAUAUAACAACAUGAAUUACAUUAAAAAAUAUUUAAAUCAAAUCAAUUAAUGCUACAUAUAGGUUUUCAUAGUCAUUAAAAAUCAAUUUAAUUUAUUAGAAACGAAUUUAAUUUCUUGAACUCCCGAAGAUCUCACAUGUAAAUUUGUUUUUUUUUUCUUCAUAUGUAUAUAGUAUAAAUAUAAAUUAUAAGACUAUCACAAUUAUAAAUUAAUUUAUUGCAAUCAAUUAAUCAUUAAAUUAGUCUAAUUAGUAAUUCGAAUUUACAGUCAUUAAUUAUAAAAUAUGUUUUAAAGUAAUUAAUUACUUUAAUUGUAAUUAUAUUUUUUUAUCAAUUAUAAUAUUUUUAUUGCAAUCAAAUAAUUGUUAAGAGCUCCGAUAAUGUUACUUACAAACAUUCUAUUUAAAAAUCAUUUUCGUUAUUUAUUUUGAUAUAUAAUAUAAAAAUAAUUUUCGUAUGUAUUAUUAUAGAUAGAUAGAUUUGAAAAAAUAGUUUUGCGGCCGGAACAUAAUUAUCUGGAGUGAAAGAUACUUAUGAUAUAUAAAAAAUAUUAAUUAAGUUUUUAGUCUUCAAUGCAUUUUUUUAAAUAGUUGGGCCUUAAAUAAUUUUUUGUUAUUAUAAAUAGUCUUCACCAUUAAUAAUUUUUUUAAGUAUUGAUCUAUCUACUUAAGUAUUAGGAUUCAAUAAUAAUGUUUCUCUUUUCCUUUUAGGUUUUAAUAACAUAAUAUUUUAUUUAUUUACCUAAAUAUAAUAAAAAUUAUAUGACAUCUAGCAUACACAUUACAUCUAAUAUGUGUUAUUUUAUGACACUUCAUUUUCUUAACAAACUAUCAAUCCCAAUUUUCCUUCUUUUAUUUUUUAUUUCAAUUUAAAUUAUUUAUUUUUAAUCUGAAAUAUAAUUUAAAUAUUAAAAGAUGUUUUAUUUGUAUGAAUUUAAUCACAGUGUAUAUUUAAAAAUAUUUCUUUAAUAUAAAUUUCAAUUAUACAAUAAGUAAAUACUUAUCUUAUUGAACUAUAACACUAGUUAAAAAUAUUUUUGAAAUUCAUACAAAAAUAAUUUUAAAAAUUAAAAUCCAUCAAACCAAACCAAAGUAAAUUAAAUAAAUCUAAUAUUUUAACUUGUGCAAUACAUAGGACAGAUAUUUAUUUUAUAUAGAUAAUUGUUUUAAAUAAAUAAUAAUGAAUAUAUAAAUUAUAUUAUAAUUAUAAUUCAUAAUUAUUUUUAAUAUGAAAUUUAUACUUUAAAUAUGUGAUAAAAAAUUUAUAUUAUGAUACAAGAUUAAUUUUAAAUAUUGAUAGUUUUUUUAAAAAUAUGAAAAUUGAAUUUAGAAAUAAUACAUUGGAACGGAUAAAUAAAUAUUUAUUAUUUGUAACGCAAAAACUUUUCUUGAACUAUAAAGAAACUUGGGACAGUAGGAAAAUAGUAAUUGCCUCGCCCCCGUCUCAAAUUCAACCUAGUCUUGUUUAUCGGCUAGUAAACUAACAGUUUCAAAUUGUUUUUUUUAUGAAAUCUAAAUCUAAAUAUUGUUGGUUUUUAAUUCUAUAUAAUCUCAUUUUUUUUCUUCAAUUUAAAUGAAAAUAUUUAAUAUUAAAACCGAAAUCAAAUAAGAAGAUCAAACAAAAUCAAAACAAGAGCUUAUAUUUAUAAGACGUAUAGUUGAUCUCAAUCAAAACAAGUUUAUUUGGAAUUUUUUUUUGCAGCAAGCAUAUUAAAGUACGACAAACACAGUCUAUAUAAUUAUAUAAAGAGCUAUAAGAGAAGCAACACGGAGACAUAAUUCGUCAAACAAACGUUGUAUUGCAAUGUGCAUAAAUACCCCAUUCCUCUGAUUUCUUGCAAACAUCAAGAAUUGUUCACCUGCUUUCUAUGAACUUCAAUAAUUCUGAUACACCCUUUGACGUAAAUAGAUCACCAGUGUGUCAAAGGAGCAAGCUUUUUGUGUGAUGGAACAGAAACACGUGUUGUUGUCAGCAUUGAGUGUUGGGGUUGGGUUGGGUGUGGGACUUGGAUUGAGCACAGGACAAGCUGUUCAAAAAUGGGUUGGAGGGAGUUGUGAGUCUGAUGAGAUUUCUGGGGAUCAAAUUGUGUUGGAGCUCAACAACAGAGUCAUUGAUGGGAAGAACAGCGAAGUCACAUUUGAUAAAUUUCCUUAUUACUUAAGGUACUUUAUUUAUAGUUUCAUUCAUUAUCAGUGUUUCCAUUUUAAAAUGAAUUCUAGUGUAUUUGCAUUUCUCAUUAAAAUAAUCCUGACGGGUCAAAGUGUUUUCAAGACAUGAAACAAUUUCAUGCUAAGUCUUGUGAAUUUCAUGGCAAUUUUCUACGAAUCUCACAGUAAAUGUGUUGUUUUCUGGCUUCGGUAUAUGGUUCACCUCUAAUGUCUUUUCUCAGAUUUUUUGUUGUUGACUUUCACCUCACCACCACUACUUUGUCAACCUCAAUCUUUCUUUGAUAUUCUAUUGAUAGUUCUGCUCGGGUUUUCAAUGUAAAGUUAUUUUGAGUAUUUAUUGAGGAAGACAGAUGAGAAGAUACAAGGUGAUGCCAAUAUCCUCGCAAGUAUGUUAAGACUGUAAAUAUAUACAAAAAGAAUGAAUGUGAGUCUAGAAAUUCAUAUGUUGCGAUUGAAAUUAGUGUUUCCUAAUAAAAGGACACUUCGGUUGAAUACUAGGUAUUUCUGUGUGCUAUGACACUUUUUUCUAGUUUGGUAAUGGCUUAGGUUAAGCAUCUCCAUUCCUGAUACCAGCUUCAUCCUCUUAUUAGAAGAUGCAAACUUUUCUAGUUGUGCUUUUGUAUACUUUUUUUAAGUUUUCAGUUAGUACUCAUUGAAAGUCAUACAAGCUGACAUGCAUGGGAGAAAUUUUUUGCAUAGUCCAAGACUGUUGCAUGACUUGUAUCUGAAGAUCCAGAUUCUGUUCAAAGUUAUACACUUAAACUCAAGGCACAAUUCAAGUUCUCUAGAGUUAUAAGGCUGACUUGGUGGUUGGAGGGAGAAGCGGGGAGGAAGAGGUCAUGGGUUCAAAACCCUCCCACUAACAAAAAACUAACAAAUCUAACAUCUAACAUUUGCCUAUAAAAAAACAGUUCAAACUCUCUGCUGUAUUUAAUGUUUUAAUUGGAUGGGUGCAAUGCUAUUGGAAUAUGUGAUUUUCUCCACCAAGAUCAUACUUUUGUUCUAAGAAAGAAGUUACCAAUGCUCGUGGGUUAGAUGGGUAUUUAGGUAGAAGCUGUAGGUUCAAAUCAUGGCAAAACCAACUUAAUGUACCAAAAAAAUGUCAUGUUAUCUCAUAGUCUUCAAAACUCAAAAGUUCCUGUUAAUUAGAUACUUUUGCCAAUUUUAAAUUUAGCAUGUUAUGCAACCUUUAUCAUAGAUGAGAUAAUUAUGUUUUACUGCUAUUAUAUGGUCUAGUUCACAGGUAAGUAAGUUGCUGUAUACUAACUUUUAAGGAUUUCCCAGGUAUAAAAUUAUGAUAAAUAAUUAUUAACUACUGAAAAAUAAAAUAUAAAUCCUUUCAUGUUUGGUGGUGCAUCUUGGAUUCUAUUGAAUUCAAACUCCGGCUUCUUGAUUUUAAGUCUUAUUGGUUCCAACAAUUGUACCUUACACUUGAUCAAUCAACUUGUUCUGGGUAAAAAAUGAGUUUUUAGUAAGGAAAAAUAAGCUUAACAGCACUGUAGUUUCCUGAACUAAGGCCAGGCUUCAGCAUGGAUCUCUAUAUUUGGAUCUGAAAUCCUGUUACAUGUGGAUUCAAUCUAACCGUGCAGGAAUUUGAUGUGAAUAACUGUUUUCCUGAUUCAUACAUUUGUCAUGAUAAACUCCCCCUGGAUUGUACCACCCCUUAUGUUAGUGCAUGUUGAUUAAAAUGACAGUGAAAGAAUCCGAUUUGUGUUAACAAGCACUGGAUAUGUUUAUUUAAAACAAGACUUUUCCAAGCACUUGAGGAACCUUCAUCCAGCAAGUAGAGCUAUUUUGCUUUCUGGACCUGCAGGUAUAUUACUUACAAGUUCUGUCUUACCAUCCAAAAUUUAUUUUGGUUUUCAAAUCCAUACAAUUGACAUUAAUUGCUUGUUGAAUUUUGAAGAACCUUAUCAGCAAAAUCUUGCCCGAGCUUUAGCACAUUACUUCAAAUCAAAGUUACUGUUGCUAGACAUUACUGACUUCUUGUUGGAGGUAGCUAUUUACAUAUCACUUUGUCUGCUUUGAUUUAUGACAUAUAUAGUCAUACUUGUCAUGUUUUCCUUUGCACAGAUGCAGAGGAAAUAUGGAUGUCCCAGAAAAGAACCAGUAAGUUUUGUCUGCUCCAUAUUUUUCUUCUGUUUGAAGAUACUUCACUAUUUACCCCGUAUUGAUCAAUUUUGCACUUUGUUGUUCCCUGAAUGUAUAUUCUAAAUUGAUUUAUCGAGUUUGGGAUGAUUGCGACCAUUCCUUUGGUGAACUGCUUUUUACUGUGUUAUUUUUAACUUCCCUGAACCGAAGUGCUCCUUUAUGAGGUCCCUUAAUUUAAUAUUUACUUUUGAAAAGAACAGUGCAAACAUUUAAAUGUUUGCUUGUAGUUUGAUUUUUCUAACUCAUUUACUUAUGUUAAUAGUGUUUUCAAAGGUCCAUAUCUGAGGUGACUUUGGAGAGAGUGUCUGGUCUGUUUGGUUCCUUGUCAGUCCUUCCUUCAACAGGCAGAACUAGAGGUACCGGAGGAAGUUGCACUUGAACUUUUUGGAAAAGUUAUUCUUAUUUUAUGAUUACUUGUUAUGAAGUUUAGUUUAGUCACCAUGAGUUCAAAGUAAUGAAUGAUUUGAAAAUGACCAAGUUUAGUUUAGUUUCACUUUUGAUGUCAAUAUCUCAGUAAGUGAUGAUCAUAGUCAUGGAAUUAUGAAAGGUCACGAGUAUCUAUCAUCCAUGUCUUAUGUUUUUGAAUUGGCAUCAAUUGAUUAUAUCUUCCAGUUCUUGUAUCCUUUACCUAGAUAUUGCCAACUUCACAUAUAUAACUAUUAUAUCAUUGUAUCAUGAAUGGUAAUUUCUAUGCAGGUACACUACAUCGACAGAGUAGUGAAAUUGAAAAUUCCAGCAAUCCUCCAAAGCUUCGCAGGAAUGCCUCUACUGCAUGUGAUACGAUUAGCACUUCCCAAUAUGGUCCGUCAGAUUCAGGAAAUUUUCUUAGUUAUUAUUUUUAACACUUAUUUUCCAUAAAUUCUCUUUAUGAGAUAACUUUAUUCACAUUUAGAACUUUAAAUUACCUUGUUUUGCUAGUUUUUGAGUCUGCUGCCCUUCCCGUUGUUUGGUUUAAAUCAUAUUUAUUUUAACUCUUUACUGUAGUAUGCUAUGUGUGCUUCAUGACAAUAUAAUGCUUUAAUUUGUAAAUAACUUUAUUACUUUAUACUUUUUAGCUAGAUCUAUUUGGUAGGAUUCUCUUAGCAGUUUUAUGCUUGUGACAUGAACCAAUCCCAAAAGUCAAAAUGCUUGUGUUAAAUCCAUUAAAUUUCAGUCAGAUAAUACUUUAGGCUUCAUUUCAUUGCUGCUUAUGCCAGAGAUUAUAUUGUUCUUCAGCAGUAUUAUGCUUAUUGUUUUAGUUCAUGUUUUCAGCUCCUUUGAAGUGCACAAGCGGCUUCUGUUUUGAUGAAAAGCUCUUCGUGCAGUCACUUUAUAAGGUGAUUUCAUCAUUCAAAGCUUAGUUUUAAAGCUCAAAUUUCUAUUGCAUCAAAGAAUAAUAUUAGUUCAAAUGUUCAAUUGACAAAAUUUCAGUAAGAUGAAAUUAUGAAUAAUGAGUAAUGAAUUUGUACAUAGCUGUCUUCACCCCAGAAAUUGGCUCCCAAAUCCUACUUUUCCUAUGCUCUUGGUCAUUUGCUUUUUAGAACUUUUAUUGUGUCCAUUCUGUGUAAGCAUAAUAUCCCUUUAAUUUUUUUGUAUUGAGAAUAAAUAUCAAUUAAUCUUACAGUGUCUGGAUAUAUAUGUCAUAAAUACAGUUCUAACAAGCAGACUUAUGUAACUUUUACAGGUCUUGGUUUCUAUCUCAGAAACCAGUUCUGUUAUUUUAUAUAUCAAGGAUGUUGAGAAGCUCUUUGUUCGAUCAACAAGGCUACACAAUUUGUUCCAAAAGUUAAUAAAGAAACUUUCAGGAUCAGUGUUAAUACUCGGUUCCCAGAUCAUUGAUUCUGAAGAUGAUUGUACAGAAAUUGAUGAAAAGCUUAGUAUGUUAUUCCCUUACAACAUUGAGAUCAAACCACCUCAAGAAGACGCCCAUCUUGCAAGCUGGAGAACGAAACUGAUAAAGGACAAGGAAAAAAGUCUGUUUCAAGAUAGCAGGAACCAUAUUGCUGAAGUACUUGCAGCAAAUGAUGUUGAUUGUGAUGACUUGGAAAAAGUAAACCAUGCUGAUACUAUGCUACUCAGUAAUUGCAUUGAAGAGAUUGUAGCGUCUGCAAUUUCUCACCACCUGAUGGAGACUAAACAUCCAGAAUACCGAAAUAGAAAAUUAGUUAUAUCACACAAGAGGUAAAUAUCUCGGCAAAUUUCUGUUUAGGCUAUUCCUUAAGAGAAAAAGUUUUCUAGUUACUAAUAUUGGAUGUGGGCAGUUUGUCCCAUGUAUUGAAUAUUUUCCAGGAAAGUGAAAGUAAUCUGGAGAAUAAAGAUUCAAACAAGGUUAGAUAAAAAUGAUUAUACGAUGCAUACUAUACUAAUAUACUAAAUUGAUAAAAAAUUUAUUCAUUGAUUUGUUUAUUAUAUUGUUAGGAGGAUGCUCUUGCAACAAAGAAAGAUGGCGACAAUGAGUUUGAGAAGCGCAUGAGAGCAGAGGUUGUGCCUGCAAAUGAGAUAGGGGUUACAUUUGAAGAUAUUGGUGCAUUGGAUGAUAUUAAAGAAUUACUUGAAGAUGUGGUCAUGCUUCCCCUCAGAAGACCAGACUUAUUCAAAGGUGGGCUUCUGAAGCCUUAUAAAGGAAUAUUGCUUUUUGGGCCUCCUGGUACAGGAAAAACAAUGCUUGCAAAGGCAAUUGCAAAUGAAGCUGGAGCAAGCUUCAUCAAUGUCUCAAUCUCUAACAUCACUUCAAAAUGGUUUGGGGAAGAUGAAAAAAAUGUCCGUGCUCUGUUUUCACUAGCAGCAAAGGUUGCUCCAACUAUUAUUUUUAUUGAUGAGGUUGAUAGCAUGCUUGGAAAGCGGACUAAAUAUGGAGAGCAUGAGGCAAUGAGAAAGAUUAAAAAUGAAUUCAUGGCCCACUGGGAUGGAAUAUUGACAAAACCUGGUGAGCGAAUUCUGGUUCUUGCUGCAACCAACAGGCCAUUUGACCUUGAUGAAGCAAUUAUAAGACGGUUUGAGCGCAGGUAAGACCACACCUUUGUCUUAUGGUUGGCAUGAUCUUCUGUUGAUUACUUGUGUCUGUUCAGCAGCUAUAUUUUCUUUAUUAGAACAAUCACAAUCAUUAUUUUCAUCAGCUGUGGUGAAUAGUUGGGUGCUCAUAAGAAAGCAAGAAAUGUGAGACAAAGAUUUCAUUAACUUGUUUUUUUUUACAAACACGUAACUUUCCUUUUGAAAGGUCCACUAAUGUGUUUAAAUUGUUUACUAGAUUUUUUUGGGGUACAUAAUUUCUCACAAGAUCGAGUUUACCUGAUGUAUUCCUUGGAUAAAUAAAUCUUAGCCAUAUCAUUGCACAGUUUGGUUUCCGGAUAGGUUGCAAGCCAUUGUUUUUAAGAUUUGUAAAUGAUAUCUCUGUUAAUUGCGAUGUUGAGCAGGAUCAUGGUUGGUCUUCCAUCUGCUGAGAACAGGGAAAUGAUCUUGAAAACUCUCCUAGCUAAGGAAAAAUAUGAACAUAUAGACUUUAAUGAGCUUUCAACCAUUACAGAAGGAUAUACUGGAAGUGAUCUUAAGGUUCACCUUGUUGGUUAUUCUGAUUCCUUACUUCUAGUUUGUGGUGAUGAUCUAUUGACAUUAAUUUCUGUAAACAGAAUUUGUGCACUGCUGCUGCUUAUCGACCUGUUAGAGAGGUACUUCAACAGGAGAGGUUGAAGGAAAAGGUAGUUACCUACCUAAUCACUUAAAGUAUUGUGAACCAUAAACUGAUCUCUAUCUAAUGCAAAAGUAUUAGUUUCUGUAUUGCUAUGUAAUAACCAUUAUGUCAUAUUUCAGGAAAAGAAGAAAACAGAAGCAGAAGUUCAAAGAUCAGAAGAUGCUUCUGAUGCUAAAGGAGAUAAAGAAGAUGGAGUGAUUACUUCAAGGUGUUUAAACAUUCAGGUAUGUUGGAUGGAAAACUAUUCACUUCAAUGAUUAUAAUGUACUUCAAUUCAGUGUCAAAGAUAUCUAACUUCAUUAGUUUCUGUAUUGCUAAGUAAUAACCAUUUUGUCUUAUUUCAGGAAAAGAAGAAAACUGAGGCAGAAGUUCAAAGCUCAGAAAAUGCUUCUGAUGCAAAAGGUGAUAAAGAUCACCAAGUGAUUACUUUGAGGCCUUUAAACAUGGAAGACAUGAGACUGGCAAAGAGUCAGGUAUGUGGAAUGGAGAAUUAUUCGCUUCAACGAUUAUAGUGUACUUUUUGGUGUCAGAUAAUAUCGAGGAAUUCUAAAAGAUGGUUCAAGGAAAUUCAAGAACACAUAUCUGACAUUGAGUUGAGGAUAUUAUAUAGUAGAAGUUAGCAGUUAUAUCAGAUACGAGCAACAAAACAUUCACAUUGAGUAAUUUAUAAAUUUCAAAUAACCCCCCAUUCCAUUCUUCAGUGAACAUUGCACCGUCCUCUCGUCUACCACUUAUCAUAGGAAUAAAUUUACUUAUUACCCAGGGUUCAAGAUGGCAACACAUAUUCCAAAGUUAAUAUCUAUGGCAUAGAAAUUGAUAAAUGUAUUUGUAAAUGCAGGUGGCUGCAAGUUUUGCUGCAGAAGGAUCAAUAAUGAGUGAGCUGAAGGAGUGGAAUGAAUUGUUUGGAGAAGGAGGUUCAAGGAAGAAGCAGCAGCUUACUUAUUUCCUUUAGAUUGUGGAAAGCUGGUUAUGUUUUGGACUUGUAUCUAUCACCAAAUGAUACCCUUUAACCAGGGAAUGAAUCCUUCAGCAGAGAUAUUGAACUCAAAGUAUGGAGUGUUGCACAUAUCAGAAAUGCUAUCUGGGUCCCCUAAGAAUGUGUAGAUCAUCGUUCAUCAGGUAUUUAGGGGUACAUUGUGUCAUGGCGUGGUUUUGUUUUGGUACAUUGUUAAUAGAUUGAAAAGUGUACCAAUUUUAUCACAAGUAGUAAAGAUUAAAAUGAAAGUCCAAGUGUCGAAUCCACAUGGACUUUGGUUGUACUUAAGUGAUACAAAUCCAAUUAUUAAGCAAUGAGAAAAAGUAGAAGAAAAGAUAAAAAAAUUGGAAGUGUGAAAUUUAGAGUAAGGCAAAGAAAAAGAUAACAUGAAAAAUAAAGAAUAAUUUAAUGCAAAAAAAUGAAAUCUAUCAGAAUGUGAUGUUUAGGACCUAGCAUGUCGAAACUACUUGUAAUAUAAUGUAUUAGAUUUUCUCUAAUUUAUGAAAUCCUUGUUUCCACCCGCACCUACUGAAUUACCCACCCUAUUUUUGGUUUCCCGCAUGAAGGACCUAGUUUAUUUAUCCUUUUCUCCCCAAUUUCUUUAUAGAGAUAAAAUAACAAACCACAUUAAGAUAAGAGAUGCAAAAAUUCUUGGGCAAAAUAAAAAUUAUUUCUAGUAAUGAAUUUAUUCAGAUACUUUUCUCCUGUUCUUUAAAAAAUAACUAUUUUUCAAUGUAUUACCCUCUAAACAUUAUAUGAAUGAUAAGAUCAUAAUAACAACAGAUCAACCCAAAGAACAAUAAUGGAAACAGAAUAACAUUAAUUAGAUAAUAAACAGAGAAUUACAUUACAAGCGUUUGACCUCCAAGGCUCCCAACAAUGAGGUUUAGCUUCUCAUAAUCAUAAGAGACUUUACACUUCAAGAGCUAGGGAUGGAUGGAAGAAAGGAUUAUACAAAUUUAAUACAAUAACAAUUGUAAGAAAAAUAUUUCGUACAAGGUUAUGGUAAUUAUAUAAAACAUUACCACAAUUUAAAAAAGAUAUUCCAUAAAUAAUUAAAUUUAAUUUGAAAAUGAUACAAAUUUAAUAAUUACCCUCUAAACAUUAUAUGGAUGAUAAGACCAUAAAAACAGAUCAACAAAAAGAAGAAUAAUGAAAACAAAAUAACAUUAAUUAGAUAAUAGACAGAGAAUUACAUUACAAGCGUUUGGCCUCCAAGACUUCCAACAAUGAGGUUUAGCCUUUCACAAUCAUGAGAGACUUUGCACUUCAAGAGCUAGGGAAGGAUGAAAGAAAAGAUUGGAUGACUAAUAUCAAGAAACAAGGGAAUGACUAAGGAAAGAGGGUUUUUUCUAAGGGAGAGACUUUGAAUUUCUUCACUAGAGAGCUUUGAGACUCGGUGUAUCUUUUCCUUCUGCUUCCUACUCCUUUUAUAGGCCUAAUGUAGCUUAUUUUAAUGCUGACCUUGCGCUUAGCGUGUGCUUUCGUGCUAAGCUCGCAUUUGGGAUUCCUCGUGCGCCUUCUUGCGUUAAACUUGUACUAAGUCUAAACUUGUCUGCUAAGCGAGAGUGCAUGCUGAACGAGUUGUCUAAUCCUUCUUGAAUGUUUUUUCUUUCAAAUUUUUCAUCAAUUUCCUCUAAAGUGCUUAAUCUUUUUCUUUUGACUUAUGCUAAUAAAAAAUUACAAAGAUGUUAAUUUGUUUGUUAUUCCAUUUUUUAUAUAUUGGUGAAAUUAUAUCUGUGCAUAGAAUCUCUGGGUAAGGCUUUUAUAUAUGCUUUUGUUGCUGUAAAUUUGUAUUUUUUUAGUAAAAUUAUUUUAUAUUAUUAAUAUAUAACUUUUUUUUUCUCCUAAAAUAGUUUGGAAUGUUGGGUUUUGGACAUUAAAAUUUUAUAGAACUAAAACAAUAUUUCAAUUUUUUUUUAAAAAAAUAACUUUUUAUCAGAUUUUAGUUACAGUGAGAUUUCAGAUUAAUUGGAGAAAUUAAAAAAAAUAUUUUAUCCUAUUAUACCAAAUUCAAAAAUCAUAAAUGCUGAAAAGUCAGCGUCAGAGAUAAUCUUGUGUUGAAGGCGGUGACCCGUAUAAACAAACGAGGGUUGUAAUGAUCUUUGUGGUUGCAUAUGAAUAUGAAUAUUAAUUAGAUGGAUUAACAAAACAGAGAAUGUUGAAUUGAAUUGAGAAGAUGACAAACCCAUUAGAGAGAUACCAAAAACUUGGGCUAAGCGAGUCUCUACCGAAAACCUACAGAUACCCAAUUGCGUGCAGAGAGCUAAGCUUUAUUCUGAGGGAAGCUUUUCAUCAAUUCCCCAAAAAUUUGCAAUCCAUCGUCUUCCAAGACACCCUCUCCGCCUUCCGUCUCCUCCCAGAGUAUGUUAUGCUUUUCAUCCUCUAUUUAUUUGUUUCGUUAAUCAAAAUAUUUAGUCAAAUUCACGACAUAUAAUUUUUAAUCAUAAUCUGAUAAUUUUGGAAUUGUGAUAUCUUCUGUCUUGUAUGGUUAUUAUUGUUCGUUCCACCAGCAAUUAUUUGAACACCACGGUCAGUUACUGUAGCAAUUGGAAAGUGUAGCAAUGUUGUUACAACCGAUAUGUGUGAAUGGUUUCGACCGUCUUACAACUUAUUGCCGUUUGUUUUGCUGCUGAAAGUGUCAAUAGCUAGUGCCAUAUUUUCUGUGAGCUGAAAGCUUUUUGAUUUUUGAAUGGUCACAAGCCUCGAUGCAGAUCACUGAACUACUUCUUAUAGAAGUUUAAAAAAAAAACUUGUUUAAUCCUUCUUAAGUAUUGCGAUGCAAAUCAACUAUGUUUUAAACCUAAUAUGAAAACACUACGUGAAACUAAAAUGGAGGUUAGGGAGGAUGCUUCUUUGUGUGGGGGAAACUAAAAUGAAUUAGUGGAUAAGGUAGUUUCCCCCGACAUUAACCAAUGCAAUGAAAUUGCUGUUUAUUACACAUUGUGGGAAGUAUAAGCUGGCUGGUAAACUGUAAAAGUAUCAAAUUGUUAAUUACAACCAUAUAUCCUGCUUUUCACUUGAAUUUUAGAAUCAGAAUAGAAAGCUAUAUUGGGGAAUUUUCAUUUAUAGGAGAAGAAAUGUGAAAGUAAAAUGAAUUGAGCUUCUCCCAUAAGCUAAAAUUAACUUAUGCACAUCAACUUUUGGAAAAUGCUAUAGAUAAAACCGAGAAGUAUGGUCUUUAUCUUUUCUAGGGGUAGCAAGUGGCUAUGACUAAUUUUAAUCCAUUUUUACUUUAUAUUAAAUUAUUAACUAAGCAUCUACCUGCUGUCUUCAGGAUCAGCCUGCCUAAUUAUUUUUUCUAUGCUCUAAUUUUAGAAUACAGACUCAGAGUGCUGUUUCAGCAGUCCACUUCCUCCUUCAGAGUGUAGAAGCAGCACUACCAAAGCAAAAAAAGAAUGUGGCUGUAACAGAAUUUAAGCAUGCAAUGGUUGCUCAUAAGAGGCGCUGUAAAGCUCACCAGGUAGAGAAAGGUCAGACUAUAUAUAAUAUAAGAAUAAGAAAUGCCUUUCUGUUAUAUUAAUGAGGGCAAACUAGUCAUGUUUAAGUAGUUUCUUAUUCCUGUAUUGCAGGUUCAUUGCCAUUGCCACAAGAUAUUCUUGUGCUCAUUUUCAGUUUUCUUGAUAUGAAAUCUUUAGUCUCAGUGGGGCUUGUCUGCCGGUAGUGCUCUCCUUCUUUUAUGUUCAUUAUGUAUACACUGCAUCAACCGAUUAUUUUAGCCCACAUCUUGCUUCUUGAGGAUGUGAAAUACAAGCACCUAUUAUAUAUUUUUCUACAUUGGACUGCUAAUUAAAUUUGUCAUGAAUAUUGUUAAAUAUCAUUAUCAAUAUAAAUUCCCUCGUGACUCAUGGACAUUGCAUAUUUAGGUCAUGGAAUAUAGCUGCAAAUGAUAACCAUCUGUGGGAGAUGCAGUAUGUUGCACUGUUUGGUGGUCGUGCUAAACUGGUUGAAGGCAAGAACAAUAGGCUUUUGCUGGAACCCAUAGAUACUAGAAUCAUUACUGAUUGGAAAGAAGCUGUUAAAGGAGCAUAUACUGGUAAGCUGAAUGUUGAGGAGAUGUAGUUUAACUUUGUUUCUUUUUUCACAUCCAAUGUAUUCUCAGUCAACUAAUGAGAUAAAAGUAUACGAUAGUGAGACUGGGAAAAUAUUAUAUACAUGUACCAUCUUUUACUUUGGCAUUAGAUUCCUAGCAGUGUGUAAGUCAAUAUAUAGAGAUGAUAAUUGCUAACCAUUGCGUUUAAUUGGUUAUUUAAUUUGUAUUGUUAUGCUACAAGUUAGAAUUUUUCAAUAAUUUUGUUUUCAUUUUCCUGAAGCACAUAGGGGAUGGAACUAAAAGUUUAUUCUUCAUUUCAAGUGUUUUAGGAACGGAAUUACAGCUUUAGAAAUUAUUAGGAAUGUUGAGUUUCAUGUUAUUUGUCAGUUAAUUUUUUGUGCUAUAAAUACAGAAAAGAGUUACUCUUUCUCUCUCGUAGAAAGAGAAACACACAUGUAUGCAUACUUGCACAUUCAAUUUUUCUCUUCCCUGUUUUAAUUAGUUGAUUUUUACAUAGGAGCAUUAUCCAGGAUAUUAACAACCAGUCGGGGAUAUUGUGGACACUGCAAAUCAGUAGUUUGGUUAAAUAACUCAAAAUGCCCCAAUGUACACUCUGGAAUAUCUGAAAUUCAAGAUAUUAAGCCUGUAACAGCAUUCCAGGUAUGUUAUGUACUGUAUUUAGCUGCUUUGUAUCAGGUUUGUUCAUAAGUAUUGAUUUUGAACUUAAUAAUGCUUUUUGUUCGAGUGCAUACUUGGGAAUAUUGACAAUCCAUUUGUAUAGUUAUUUGAAGAUCAAAGCCUACUUAUAUUUAUACUAGAUUGCGUUUUUGUUUAUCUCCAGAUUCGUUCAAAAUAAUUUACUGAAGUUAACUAAUAAUAACUGUAAUCUUCCUAAUUUCAGGCUGUGGAAUAUGUUCUAGAGGAUUCUCUAUCAGUAACAUCUUCCUCAGACAGUGAUAGUGAUUCGGAAGGAGGAACAGUUUCUAGGUUAUGGGCAUAUCCCAAGCAUAUAAGAAAAUAAUAUGGGACAGCUUUUUGCUUUGAAUACAUUCACAAUUCACAAAUGAGUAAAAAAACUCCCAACGUUCACCGGGUUCAUAUUCAUCGAGAAGCAAGUUUUAUGGCCCUUUUCAUAACCAAAAACAAAAGCUGAUUGUAAUGUAUCUGGAGGCUUUGGGGUAGAAAAAUAAUUUCUUUAAAAAAGAGAGGUACUUCAGAAUACCUCAUUUGUGAGUAUGAAUGAUGAUGAUGAUGAUGUGGUUGUUGUUGGUUGGAGCAAUGGGUCUAUCAUGUCUCGAACCUGGGACCGGUAAUGCUAUUGCAACAAGCAAACCAUUACACCAGGCUGGGGCAAUAUGCUGGAAUUCAGCUGUCAAGUGUUUUUUUCUUAUAUAUAAAAAGUAGGAAAAUUAUUACUUGUUAUUCAUUUUAAAGAAAUAUAAAUAUAUUUAACUAAAUUAUCUUUCUCUCAAUUAUAUAUUGUUCUUUCUUAUUUAGAUUAACACAAAUAUCAAGAGCGCAUGAUGGUAUUUUUUUAUUAUAAAAAAACAUGUUCUUGACUUUUUUAAAAUGAACAAAAAUUAAUAUAGAAAAUAUCAAGAAAAUAAGCUGUUGAGAAAACAUCCGCUAAAAUAGCGUUUGAAAUAAAUGAAAGAACAAAAUCAAAAACCUUCAAUUGUCUAUCUAACUUUAGUCCAUAACCAGUUAGACGAUCCGCUACAUGAUUCUCUUGGUAAGAUUAAUAUAAAUAUAUAAAUAUUAACAAAUAAGAGAAAGUGUGUAAAAAAGAAAAUAUGAAACAAAAAUCUCUUAUUAGCAAUUUUCAGUAUUGGCAGAUAAUUGUGUAAAAAAAAAGUAUUGACAGAUAAUGGGAUGGGAGUAAAAAAAGAUUGAAAAUCACAAUAAAAGUAGAAGCAGAGCAGAGCGAUAAGCAGUUUUACUUGAAGCCAUCGCAAAUGAGUAAAAGAGCUUCCAACUUUCAUUGGAUUCAUAUUCAUCGAGAAGCAUUCCAUGUAAUAUUAAGUCAUAUAUACUCGGGCUCGAAUUUACCAAAACAAAAAUAUACUUGGGCUGGAUCUGUAAUAUAUCUGGGUUUAGGGUAGAAAAAUAAUUUGGCAGUUCUUUUGGGCACCCAACAUUUUUGUUGAAAUACCAGCAACAUAGGUAAAAAGAUUAAAAUAAGCUUCACCUUUUCUUUAAAUAUGAAUCGACGAUCCAAAUGACUCAUACGGAUUAACGAUCCAUAUGAGUUUUUUAUUUUUAACUCAUACAAUCCGUAUGAGUUUUUUUAUUUAAUUUUUUAAUUUUUUUAAAAAAUAAAUUAAAAAUUUAAAAAACUCGUACAAAUGAUUGAUCUGUAUGAGUCAUAUGGAUUGAUAAUUCGUAUAGUUAUACAGAUUGUCAUUUCAUAUGUUUUAAUUUUAAAAAAAUUAUUUUUUAGAAAUUUUUUAUUUACAAAAUUUGAUAAUUAAAAAAAUUUGAUAUUUAAUUGAAUGAUGUAUUUAGAUAUUUAUUAUAAUGAUUAAAAAUUAAAUAAAUAUGAUAUUUAAUUGAAUGAUGUAUUUAGAUAUUUUUUAUAGCAAUUAAUAAUUAAAUAAAAUUGAUAUUUUUUACAUAUGUAAAUAUUUAUUAAAUCUAUGAUUUUUAUUUAUAAUUUAUAUAUGUAAACAAAUUAAUUAUUAGAUAAAAAAUAACCAUCACAAGAUUUAUUAUGUAAAUUUAUAUAUACAUUAAAUAUAAAUUAAAAAUUUUAGUGUUAUAUAUAACAACAUUAUUUAUAAUAUAAUGUCAAUUAAUUUAAGUGUUUUAUUAAUAAUAUAAAAUACAUAAAUUCAAGCUUAAGAAAGAGAGGUACUUCAAAGUACCUCAUUUGUGAGAUUGAUGUUGUUUUGGUUUUGAACUUGUCCAUGUCUCGAACCUGAAACCAUUAACAUGGUAUUGCAAUAAGCAAAUCCAUUGGUCCAGGUUGAGGACAGACAAUAACAUGGAAAGAUUUUAAUUAUAAAAAUGCACACAGGCAUGGUUAUUGAGGAAUAAUUAAUAGUUAAAUAUAUACUUUCAUUCUUUCCAAAAUAAUUGUUGCCAUAGAUUUAUAUAUGGAGGAAAAUUAUUACAUAUUAUUCAUUUCAAGGACAUUUAAUUAUGUUUAACUUAAUAAUAUUUCACUGAAUUGCUGUUCUUUCUUAUUUAGAGUUUGGACGAACAUAGUAUUAAGAGAGAAUGAUGAAAUAAAAAAAUCUUGACUUUUUAAAAUGACGAAGAAAUUAAUAUAAAAUAUAUUAUGGUAAUAAUUACUUAAAAUAGAAAAAAUAUAUUAAAAGACAGUUUUAUAAAUAUGUUAGAUAAGAAUUGUAAUAUUUUUUUUUUGGAAUAUAGGAGCUUAAUCCCCAAACAACACAAUCAUCAAACACGCUUCAGUUUUAUAAAUGAAUUUAAUGCAUACUCAUAUUUUAAAUUAUUAUAUAAUCAUAAAUCAAUAUUUAAAUUAUUUUAAAAGUCAAUUAAAAGUAAAUCAUUCCAUCAACCGGGUAAGGAUGAUAAGUUGCAACCCAAAUAUUAAUAAUUUCCACAUAAAAACCCAAAUAUAAUAAUGUGUUUUUGUUUACUCAGUCCAUUUCUAAUUAUAAGAUUCUUUGAAUUAAUUCAUAUUUUUUAAGAAAAAUAAUUAUUAUAUUAAGUUUGAUAAUUAUUUGUAUUAUAAUUCUAAAAUUAUUCAUUUUUCUCUAUCUAUUCACAUACUUAUUUCUUAUUAAUAUUUAAAGAAACAAUAAUUAAAUAAACAUAUGUAGACAAAAGAAUAAUUAAUGUAUCUAAAAAUUAAAAAAUGGUCUUAUAAAAAGCUACAAAUAAUUUUUUGAAAAAUAUUUUAUAAUUAUUUAAAUCAUAAACAACUUGAUAAAAAAUAUAAAUUAUUAUCACUGUGUCAAUCAUGAUUUUAAAUCAUUGUUGAUGUAAACUAUUUCUAUUCUUAUAUACUUUUAUUAGAGAUAUUUAUAUCAUUUUUUCCGGUAAUAAUAAGAUGAAGCUGAUUGUAAUCGCUGGCAUCAUUCAUUUCAUUCCCAUGUUUUAUAGUUUGACUCAGCCAAUUUAAAAUUUGAAAAAGAGAGAUACUUUCUUUCAGAGUACCUCUUUUGAGAGCAUGUUAUGUUGUUGAACUUGAAUGAAUUGGAAUUGAAAGGAUUUAGGGAUUGUGGGUGUCUUACUUCGCACCUAGAACCCAAUAAUUGGGUGGAAAGUGGAAACAAUAAAUCAUUAAAUGAGGCUAGACAGACAAUGGGGUGGAAACAUUUAUUUAUUUUAAACCGUACAUGAUCAUAAGUUCAUAACUAUUUAAAAAUAGCAAGAAUAAUUAAAUAUUAGAUAAAUAAUUAAAUUUAUUUCUAAAAAUAUAAUGUUGUCAAAUUGAUUCAUCAAUGAUGAAAAAUAUAAAUUUAAUUUUUAAAUAUAUAAAAGUGUGACAAAUUAAUUCUAUUAAAUUUAUGAAAUCAUUUUGUUAUUAAAUUAUAAUGUUAAAAGAUUAAAUAGACAAUAAAUUGUAUUUUUUUAAGAUUUAUUUGACGUUAUGUUUUAAAGUUUAGAGAGUAAUUAAAUUAUUUGUAGGACUAAUUUAUUAUAUUUUUACAUAUUUAACAAUUAAAUUUAAAUUUUUUGUUUGGCAAUCCACACUUUUAAGAAGAAUUUCACUAUUUAACCUUAGAUAUAUACUAUAUUUGUAUAUUUGUGUGCUAGGUAAUCGUUGUUUAGUAUAUAUAUAACAUGUUAAUUUUAAAAACAUAUAAUUAUAUUUAAUUAAACAAUCUUUCACUCAAUUAUUUUUCAUUCUUAACAAAUUAAAAAAUCACAACUAUAAAGCUAGAAUAAAAGGUUAAUUAAAGAUGUGCUUCAUCCAUUUAAAAGUUAAGUAAAUAAUUGUGUGAUUUUAAUUUUUCUCAAGAAAUUUACAGUUUGACACACUAUCAUUUGUUUAAAAAUAAAAAUAAAAUUCCGCGGUAAAAAGGAGAGGUAGCUUUUAAGUACCUCAUGAUCACAGAAGGUGGCUGUGUUCGAUGCCAAGUCUCGAACCUGACUACGGGUAAGGUAAGUUAAAUAUACCAUUAGAACAGAUUCCAGAUCGACAAAAUAGUGUACUUAAAGUAUGAAUAUAAACGUGUCUUGUCAUCACAAUUCACAACAUUGAAGAAUAAAUAAUAAUGAAACAUGUAGCUAUUUGAUUGGAACCCGGAGACCGGAGCAAUUACAAGCUCGUCGUAGUCGACGAAAUUGUUGUAGGAAAAGUACAAAUUUUGGACGAAAUUUCUUGCAAAUUUUAAUAUGCGGGAAAUUAAACAAUCUCUCAAAUUAAAAAAAUUAGCAAAUUUGUAUAUGUUUUAUUUCUUUUUAAUAUAACUGAAAUAUUUUCAUUUCUUUUUGCCUGACCCGUGAAACAAAGUUGCAAUAUCCCCGAAAUUAUUAUCAUGGAUAGCCAAAAAAACAUCGAAUAACCAGCAAGCAUUUUAAUUCAGUCAAAUUCAUCAUAUAUUUAAGUUUUAUUGUCAUCCAUUUCCAACUAAUUAGAGAGUUCUAGUAUAUUUUUUUUUUUGACAUCGAAAGUUCUGUUAUUGAACAACACAAUUAAAAAAUGAUGGUACACGUACAAAAGUGACAACUAAAAAGGAAAAAGAAAAGGCAAACAGAACUCGGGAAGCACUUCCUUAGAUGACAUGGGGUACACGUUCAUCGAGUCAAUGUAUACAACAAAAUGAUGGUGCUUUGGCAUUUAAUUUAAGGCUACUCUUAUAAAUAAUCCAAGAUAAUCCUAAAAAAUUAAGGCAGGACUAGGUGGACUUUUAUUUCUCAAACUAUAUUUCACUCAAUUAACCAAAAGAUUCACCAAAAGAGGGAAAAAAAACUAAAAGUGGGAGAGGGGUUUCGGUAAGACUUGUGUAGAAACUUGACAUCUGAACAAAACAGAUAUCCACCGUAAGUAAACAAUAACCUGAGAGAUGAUGUAUUCUAAUCCUUUUUAAAACCUGCUAUUGGUAUCUGGCUCAAAACCUUAGCAUCAAACACUGCAUACUGCUUUUUGAUUUCAAUCAUUGCCUUCUCUCCUAAUGCAUCAACUUGGUCUUCAUAUUUCUCAUACAGCAGUGGCAACGUGAACAGUGACACAAAAACUGUAUCACCCCAAAUGGAUUCAAUGUUAGGAAAAUACCAUUAAAAUAGCCUUUUAAUUAUAGAACAUAAAGACACGUAACAAUGGAAAGAAUGGAAGUAAUAUAUGCAUUUCUUACAUAGGUAAAACAAGGUCAUGAAGUUGAACCAACUCCCAAUAACCGAGAUAACCCAUAAUACAGCAAUAACCUGGUAACAUGACAAAAAACACCUUAAUUAGUCCUACUUCAGCUGCUACUGUCUGCACAAAGUCUGUGAAGGCAAACAUAACCACCAAACUAGACUAUGUAAAGCAUUGUGCAAUAUUAAAAAUUGAAUAUGAUAUGAAUAAAGGUGAAUUUCAGUUUAACCUCAAUUUCUCACAAAAUCCAAAGAAAUCUAUUGGAAUUUGACUGAUUUCAUCACAAAAUUAGAGCUUCACAUAAGGAUGAAGGAAGGAAUUAUUCAACUUACGCUAAGGAACUUCUUUAAAUCUCUCCCAGUUCCAAUUUCCCGCACAAUAACGAAGGCUCGGUUAAUCUCAAUUGUUAAAGCAGAAGCAACCUGAUGAACGCAUUCCUCAGGAAGUGCUACAUGAGGGAUGUGCAGUGAAGACCUAAUUUAGAAAAUGUCAAGACCAAACGGAAGUGCACAUAUUAAGAAACAAGAUAUAACAAUUUACUAUUAGGAGUGCAUGGAUUUUAAAGCUAAAGAUCCUGAUUUUUUUUUCACUCAUAUUUUGAAGGACACCAAAUUAACUUGACGAAAAACAGUAUAAAAUUUUUAAUGGCUUACUUGUGGAUAAAGACAGAUGCAUUGGACCACAAGAAAAGUGCCGCGAGAGACACAAUCAAUAAAUGGCAAAUAAAAGUUAUGAGGUGGUAUUGCAUCAACUCAAAGAAAAUCCAGAAGGCAGUGCCUGCACCAAGUACGACUCCAGUGCUUCUCCUGUUCCUCCAUAGCAAAAUAUCAGCAGCUGCAAGGGACACAUGUAAUGCAACAUAAUGACUAGAUGGAUUGGAUUUAUUUCCAAAAGUGAAUAGAUUUUAUUUAUCAGAAGGGAUUUGUUCUACGCAAAGUGGAUAGAUAAAUUCCAAAUUCCUUUCCAAUAAUACAGUGUAGGAUAACAUUAAAAGCCAACCCCACAGUGCAGCUAAUAUGGAAUGAUGUAUCAAAAGGUUUCGCAGACAACCUUCAACAAGAGACUGAAUGGAACAUAAGAAAUACACGCUGACAAGCAAAAUAUUGUCUCCUUAUAAUAUAAUAAACCAAAGUCACCAAGCAAUAUUCCUUCCUUUCAUCAUAAUUGUAAUUUUUGACACUGCUCCAUCUAUUUUCUCAGCAAAAAUUUAUGCCAACAGUUUUGGAUACACAGAAAAAAGAAACCUUCCUAUAUAGCUUCGAUCCAAAUUUGAUUAAUAUAUACAACUACAUUAUUACAUAAAUUUAUAUAAAAUGUGACUUUUAUAAUAAAAAAAAUGAAGUUUAACUUUGAUAUUCUUGUAAGUAUAUAUUAUCAACCAAUUAAAAAUGAUCUACAUAUAUUUGAAAGUAAUUUUUACAAAAAUCAAUCAUAUUAAAUUAUAUAAAAAAAAUUAGAUUACAGAGCCAAUAUAUUUUAAUAAAAUUAAAAAAAAAAAGUUGAUUAAAUUGAUUUAAUUAUAGCUACGACGAUGGCACAAUAAAAAUCCAAAAACUCAAUAUAAAUCAAGCAUUCGUAAAUAUCUAAUCUAAUCUAACAACAAUUGACAUUUACGCCUCCUCGCCAAGAUGAUCAAAUUAAUAUCAAAUGCGAUUAACAGAACACCGCCAUCACCAACAACAAUAUGAGGUCGUUACGCUUCGAUAUAUGACAAUGUAAAAAAAUAUUCUAACGCGAGUCUCAGAUCAUACACGUCGCUGUAGAAAUCAGAGUUAAGAGUUUUCUAUCAUACACGUAACUUCUCCGAUCAAAGACGAAACAGACGCGACGAGUGAUUAAUGUAUAACACGAGAAGAUAAACAAUGAGGAAUGAAAUAAAAAGUAAUGAAUGCAGAUACGUUAGCGAUGGAGAUCGAGGAGCGAGGAGUUACGUUUUCCGCCGCCGAGGACCUUGUGGACGGGCUGAUCGCGACCGAAGAGGCGGUAAACGUUGUUGGAAACGGUGGUCUUGGGCGGCGGCCUGUUGUUGUGGUCGUCAUCGGAAUCGGAAUAGGAAUCGGAAUCGGAGUUGUGGUCGUGGAACUUCUCUUCUACCUUAUCGCUGAAGGAAUCUGUGUCCCCUGACGCCAUGGAUAAUGAGACGAAGAAUGAAACUAAGGAAGGAAGGAAGGAACGAAGGAGUCGCAGAGAAGAAGCGAGUUUCACUGAAGCGCCUCUAUUUAUAUUUCUCGGAUUGUUGAGUCCGAGCCUCAAGCUCGGAAUGGUGGUUAGGAAUGAAUAACGGAAAUCUUUCACUUCAGUUUAAUAUAUAAACUCUUCACCAUUCAAGACCACUUAAUCAAGUGUGCCACUAAUUUUUCUUUUUCUUAUAUUUAUUUGAGUUUAAAUACAUCAUAUACCUAAGUUUCAUUCCUAUUGAUAAGAAAGAAAUAAAAGUCUUAGCGCUUCAAUCGAAGUUGUUCACCAUUCAAGGCCACUGAAUGAUUGAGGCACUAAUAUGUAAUUUUUUUUCUUAGCCCGCAUAUUUAAUUUCAUAUUAAAAAAUCAAUUCUGAGUGUAAAGUUGAUUAUCAGUUAAAACAAUUUCAAAUAACUUUUACAAUGAAUAAAAAAAUUGAGUUUCACUAUUAAUAUUCUUUCAUAAUAAAAACAUCUAUAUAUAAAUCAUAUCAUUUUAAAAUCAACAUUAACUAAAAUUAAUUUUAUUAACACUCAUCCAAACAUAAACAUUAAAUUUAUGUUCUUCAAAGUUGCAGAUUAUGAACGGUUUCUUUGUGUUUUGUUGUAUAAUUUUGGCUGGAUUAGAUCUGCGCCGCUUCUAUUUAAGUCUUAGCUCCAAAUUAACUUUAUAAUUUUAUUAUUUCCCUAAAUGAAUUAAUCACUUAUUUUUUAAUCAAAUCUUAUGUUCUGGGCCUAAAUUCCCAUGCCAUUCAGUUGCCAUAAAUGAUGGGCUGAGUUUAAAGUUUGAAGGAAACGAGUUUCUUUGGGGGCCCAACAUAGCUAAAGAUCUAUGCAACUAUAUGAAAGAAUUUUGUUAACCAAAAUCUUAUCUUUUGAGGAAAAAAAAGAGAGAGAAGAGAAAUACUAUGAAGUACGAACAUAACUUUUCAUUUUAAAUAUAUUUUCUUUGAUUGAUUCAAAUUUACUAAAAAUGAUGAUUUUUUUAGGACUUUUAUUAUAUUUAAUCAUUUUUUCCUAAUUUUGUAAUUUUAUUAAAAAAACUGUUAGUAAGAACGUAUUAUUGGCAUUCUUCUAGUAAAAAUAGACUAUUGACCGUGUUUCCUCUCCUUCGCGUGAGGCUUAUUUCCUUAGUAAGAUGCGGUUUAACUUACGUAGUUAUUUGAAAUUUUGAAAUCAUCCAAAAAUAAAAAUAACAAAUAAAAAUAUGCCCAACUCUUACUAGAUAAACCUGCCAUAAAACUUCUCAUUUAAGUUCAAAUAAAACUUAUCUAACUGGGAUCUGUUUGGUAUGGUAGGAGUUAGAGUCUCAACAUAAUUGAAAUGUCAAUCUUUAUUUCAAAUAGAUUCACCUUUUUUUUUUUUUUGCCAUAAAAAAGCUGAUCUAAGAAUCCAAAUCUGAAGCACAAAAUGUUCAAUUACCUUAGAUGAGUAAGAGAAAAAUAACAAUUAAAAACAGAACUAAAGCCAGGGUCAUUAAUAAGAAAAAGAUGGUAGUAAAAGCAGGAAGGGAAAGACCAAGAGUAAGAGUCUUUAGGCUUUGGGAAAGAAAAAUAGCAGUCAGAACUCACAAGGUUCCGGAGGGUGUGAUGAAAAUAAAUUCCUGAUGGUGCUUCACUGCUUCUUCCCCAACUUAAUUAUAAGCGUGCAUGAUGCAAUUACAUUAAAACAAAAGUGGUCAACUUAGACAGAGGAGAUUUACCUAGUUUCCUUUUCAUUGUUCUCAUCUUGCUUUUUGACUGCCAUCUUCAAUGCUUGCACCGUUGCCAUAUCCAUGAUUUCUGACGAGCUUUCCUUUGCAAUGCAGGAGAUGUAUUGCUAUUAAUAACCUAGUUUUUUUUUUUAUAUAAAAAGUUAUAUUGAAUUAUUUUUCUAUUUUUUAAAAAUGAUUCGAAUAAUAUAAAGUAUUCUUACUAGAGUUAUUAUAAACGAAGACUUUAUUGUAAAAUGCUCCAAUUAAGCAAAGUUUGAAGCGUAGUACAUGUUCUCUGUUUUUUUCCCCCACCAGAUAUCAGAGGUCAUUUUUGUUUUACCACCUUUGUAUAUAUAAAAAUAAAUCUCUUUAUUUUCUUCAAAUACAUACAGGUCUUUUUGUUUUAAAAUACUCGAUUUCAAUCUUAAACUAGUAUUUCACCCCACUUUUUUGGUAUUUUUAAUUUUUCUCCUUAAAAGCAGAAUUAGGUUAAAUAUAAUUGAAAAGAAGUGAUACGAGUACAGAGGACACAGAGCUUGGGAAGAAAGACGCUGAGGAAGAAGAUGAUCUAAGUAGGAGGGAAGAAGAGGAUAGAGGGGUGCAAAGAGAAGGAAAGCCCAAAAGGAAGGUUAUCAAGCCCAAUUAUCUAAAGGAUUAUGUUUAAGAGGGAAACAGAACAAUAUACUUCAUCAUACUUAGCCUUAUGCCUAACAAAUAGGAAAAUUACGAAUAUAUACUCAUUCAAAGGAUAAUGACAAGCAAUUCUGUUAUAUGCAUAUUCUAGAAUUAUUCCAGAAAGAUAGCUCAGCAUAAUUCUGUUACUAGACCAUCUAUAUAAUAUCAUGUAAAUAAAGCAUAAGGAAUGAGAAGAUAUUUUCCCUUAAUUACCUUCUUCUUUCUCAUCUCUUCUGUGGAGGGGUCUGGACCUCGAAAUCCAGAGCUAUCACUGGUGCUUUCAUUGCCCUUCCGCUUCCAUGGCUGAUUCUGGUACUGAUCGUGUCGAGGCAGCCUUAGACCGCCUCGCUUCCCGCAUUGAGGACCUUUUGCAGCAUGUGACUCCAUCCGCUUCUUCCCCUUUUCCUCCUCGCAGUCCGAUUCCUGCACACACACACCGAAUGAAAUUAGACGUUCCGAGAUUCGAUGGAACUGAUCCUAUGGGCUGGAUUUUUAAAAUUACUCAAUUCUUUGAGUAUCACGGCACUCCCGAUUCUGAUCGUAUUACCAUUGCUGCGUUUUAUAUGGAGGGACGGGCCCUUGCUUGGUUCCAAUGGAUGUCAAGCAACGGCCAAUUCACCUCUUGGCCCGUAUUUCUACAGGCCUUACAGACCAGGUUUGCUCCGUCCAAUUACGAGGAUCCCUCAGGAUCCCUAUUCAAGCUCAUUCAGAAGACCACAGUUGCAGAAUACUUAUCUGAGUUCGAGGAGCUCGCGAACAGGGUCGUCGGCCUCCCUGCUCCGUUCCUUUUAAGCUGCUUCGUUUCUGGCCUUGCGCCGGAGAUUCGUCGCGAGGUGAUGAUCAACCAACCGCUUACGGUGGCACAAGCGGCGGGUCUUGCGCGUCUCCACGAGGAGAAGUUGCGCGACCUCCGCUUCGAUUUCCGCCAACCCAACCGACCUCGCCCUCUUCAGCUACCCCCUGUAGCCCCACCGCAGACUUCACCGCUCCCAACCUACACACCUCCGCGCGCCUCCACCCUUCCCCCUUUGCUUCCUCUGCCGCCACGUCCUAACCCGCAACCGCCACCGAUGUUUCGUCGCCUGACCUCGGAGGAACUGGCGUCGCGCCGUGAGCGCGGCCUGUGUUUCUCAUGUGAUGAGAAAUUUCACAAGGGCCAUAGAUGCGCCCCUAGGGUUCAUCUACUGAUAGCAGAUGAUGAAGACCCCCUUGACCCCGCGGGUUCUAAUAUAAAUCCACCAGACCCUCCCGACCCGCUACCCGGCCCAUUGGAUGGACCCGACUCACCGGCCCACCUCAGCAUCAACUCUUUAGCGGGUCAUCUUGCACCCGAGACCUUGAGACUCCUCGGCACCAUCUCCGGCGUUCCCGUCCUGGUGCUCAUUGACGGUGGGAGCACCCACAAUUUCAUCCAGGAGCCACUCGUUCACCAAUUGGGCCUUCCUUGUCAAUCAACCAGCCCAUUAAAGGUCAUGGUAGGAAAUGGGCAACAUCUGCAAUGCCAUACGAUUUGCAGUUCCACCACCCUCGUCCUUCAACAUCAUUCGUUCACCAUGGACUUAUAUGUCCUACCCAUUGCCGGCGCUAACAUUAUCUUGGGUGUCCAAUGGUUACAGUCCUUGGGCCCAGUUUUAACUGAUUAUACAAAGCUCACCAUGCAAUUCUUUCAUGAUGACAGGUUCGUGGAGCUCCGCGGCGACCCCGACGCCCACAGGGAACUCUUAUCGUCCCCACAAUUCCGGCGUGUCUGCCGCCAUCAACCAUAGAGUCUCUACUUCCACAUCACAGUGCUUCCGGUGGAUUCCGCACAACCAUUGACCAAGCCCGUUGACCCUCAGGUUCAACAUCUUCUUCAUCAAUUCGCCAUUCUCUUUCAAGACCCCACCACUCUUCCGCCGGCAAGAGACACGGACCAUCAAAUUCACCUUCUUCCACAUGCGACACCAGUGAAUGUCCGGCCAUACAAGUAUCCAUAUUACCAGAAACGCGAAAUCGAAGCUCAGGUGGAAACUAUGCUUCAACGGGGCUUAAUUCAACCCAGCAAGAGCCCUUUCUCGUCGCCGGUAUUAUUGGUAAAGAAGUCUGAUAACACAUGGCGCUUCUGCGUGGACUAUCGCGCAUUGAAUGCCCUGACCAUCAAAGAUCGUUUUCCGAUUCCGACGAUCGAUGAGCUUCUGGAUGAGCUCGGCGGUGCGUCUUGCUUUUCCAAAUUGGAAUUGUUGCAGGGGUAUCACCAGAUACGCAUGCAACCGGAAGACAUCCCGAAAACAGCCUUCAGGACGCAUCACGGCCACUUUGAAUUCAAAGUGAUGCCCUUCGGUUUGUGUAAUGCGCCUUCUUCAUUCCAGGCAACCAUGAACACUCUUUUCCGACCGUAUCUCCGGCGAUUCAUCAUCGUGUUCUUUGAUGACAUUCUCAUCUAUAGCGGUUCCCUCAGCGAUCACUUACGUCAUCUUCAGGCCACAUUUCAGAUACUCUAUGAGAAUCAUUUUGUGCUUAAGCUCUCCAAAUGCCUCUUUGCGCAGUCAGAAGUCGAAUAUUUGGGUCAUCUGGUCUCACACAGAGGUGUUCAACCUGUCACUUCGAAGCUUGAUGCCAUUGCUCAGUGGCCAAUACCACGUUCAGUCCGUGCUCUACGGAGUUUUCUUGGCCUCGCCGGAUUCUACCGCAGGUUCAUUCAGGGUUAUGCCACCAUUGCCGCCCCGCUUGUAAAGGCCACCACGGUUGAACCUCUCCAGUGGAACUCCUCCACUCAGGCAGCUUUUGACACUUUGAAACAGGCUCUAAUCUCCGCUCCGGUCCUUUCUCUCCCUGAUUUUCAAUUGCCUUUUACAAUUGAAACUGAUGCGUCUGCAAUCGGAAUGGGGGCUGUAUUGUCCCAACGGGGCCAUCCCAUAGCUUACUUUAGCAAGCCUUUUAGUCCAAAGUUGCUUCGAGCCUCGACUUAUGUUAGAGAACUGUUUGCCAUCACGGCCGCCGUGAAGAAGUGGCGGCAAUACCUCCUUGGCCAUAGCUUUAUUAUUUUAACAGACCAUCGGAGCUUAAAAGAAUUGAUGAGUCAGGUUGUUCAAACACCUGAACAACAUACUUACCUUGCAAGGUUAAUGGGCUACGACUACCAGAUCCAAUAUCGCUCCGGCAGUCACAAUCAGGCCGCAGACGCACUAUCCCGUUUGCCGGAAAACCCCUCUCAGGCCCUCCUCAUCCUCUCUGUUCCAUGUCUCACCUUUCUGGAGGAGCUUCAUACCCAGCUUGCUGCGAAUUCUUCUUUCCAACAUCUCUUCCAAGAGGUACGGGAUACUCCCGACAAACACCCUGAUUUCUCCAUUGCCAACAAGCUUCUGCUAUAUAAGGGCCGCAUCUAGUUGCCGUCGGACAUACCAAUCAUCAAGACCUUGCUCACAGAGUACCACGCCACCCCUACGGGGGGCCACGCCGGCGUCGCGAAAACGGUAGCUCGUCUCACCACCAAUUUCUAUUGGACUGGUCUACGAGAUGACGUCAUGCGCUUCAUUGCAACCUGCGUUGACUGCCAGGUCACCAAAUAUGAGACUAAGAAAACAGCUGGACUUCUCUGCCCUCUCCCUGUUCCCACUCAACCUUGGUCGGACUUAUCCUUGGAUUUCAUAUGUGGGUUACCACCGUAUCGGGGCAACACGACGAUUCUCGUUGUCGUGGAUCGCUUCUCGAAAGGCAUCCACUUGGGCAUGCUCCCUCAAAGCCACACCGCUCUUGCUGUCGCUCGGCUCUUUUUGGACUUAGUGGUGAAGAUACACGGCCUUCCCCGGAGCCUCGUUUCGGACCGUGACCCUCUCUUCAUUAGUCAGCUAUGGCAAGAAUUAUUUAAAUCCAGUGGUACCCAGCUUCGGAUGAGUUCUACAUAUCAUCCACAAAGCGAUGGGCAGACGGAGGUCUUAAAUAGAGUAGUAGAGCAGUAUCUGCGUGCGUUUGUCCACAGGAAACCGACAAGCUGGGGAAAAUUAUUACCAUGGGUUGAGUGGUCGCACAAUACCUCUUGGAUGGCCAGCACGGGCACCACCCCUUAUGAGAUUACUUUCGGCCGGAAGCCCUUCAAUUUUCCCGAUUAUCUUGCGGGGUCUUCUAAAAUUGAGGCAGUGGAGGAAAUCUUAACUGAUAGAGACACUACCUUCCAGUUGGUUCGCAAAAAGUUGCUGAAAGCUCAAAGCAAGAUGAAACUUUAUGCUGAUCAACAUCGUCGGGAUGUACAGUUCACCGUUGGUGAUUGGGUCUUGGUCCGCCUUCGUCCUUACCGUCAAUUUUCUGCAAAAGAUAAGCACCACACGAAUGAGAAACUAGCCCGUCGCUAUUAUGGUCCCUUUCAAGUUGUUGCUAAGCUCCGACCCGUGGCAUAUCGUCUAGCGCUACCAGAGGGGGUCCGGCUCCACCCCGUGUUUCAUUGCUCGAAGCUUAAGCCCUUUCGCGGGGAUCCAGAUUCCUCAUCCCCUCUGCCUUUACCAGCCACUUUCCAUGAAAAUCAACCACUCGUCUCUCCCCUCUCUAUCCUGGAUUUUCGUCGGGAAACCUCUGAUCCCCAGAGUCCGUGGCAAGUCUUGGUCCAGUGGCAGGGUCUUCCACCGGAGGAAACGUCAUGGGAAGAUUGGCAUCAGCUUUGCCAGGAUUAUCACCUUGAGGACAAGGUGAUCCUGCAAGGGCCGAGGGAUGAUACGAGUACAGAGGACACAGAGCUUGGGAAGGAAGACGCUGAGGAAGAAGAUGAUCUGAGUAAGAGGGAAGAAGAGGAUAGAGGGGUGCAAAGAGAAGGAAAGCCCAAAAGGAAGGUUAUCAAGCCCAAUUAUCUAAAGGAUUAUGUUUAAGAGGGAAACAGAACAAUAUACUUCAUCAUACUUAGCCUUAUGCCUAACAAAUAGGAAAAUUACGAAUAUAUACUCAUUCAAAGGAUAAUGACAAGCAAUUCUGUUAUAUGCAUAUUCUAGAAUUAUUCCAGAAAGACAGCUCAGCAUAAUUCUAUUACUAGAUCAUCUAUAUGAUAUCAUGUAAAUAAAGCAUAAGGAAUGAGAAGAUAUUUUCCCUUAAUUACCUUCUUCUUUCUCAUCUCUUCUGUGGAGGGGUCUGGACCUCGAAAUCCAGAGCUAUCAAGAAGUGUUGAAAAAUUCAGUUGUUUACAUUUUUAUAAAAAGGGAGGUAAAGCUUUAAAAAAAAGUUAAGCGAAAUAGUAUUAAAAAUAAAUUUCACGCCUUAACUUUUCUCUUCCUCCCUGUAUACAAUUAAAAAAGCUUUAAAGCUAGAAUUUUUUUUUUAAGCUAAAACUAUUAAAUAAUUUCUACUUUGUUUUUAAAAUCUCUAUUUUAAACUUUAACUUUAAAGUGGGUUUUAACUUUCAAGUCAUAAAAACUUUGGACAAAAAUAGGUUAUAUAUAUAUAUUCAAGGAAAAUAGGUUAACAUAUAGUAGGCUGAUCGAAUUAUUAUUAUUAUUAUGAAGCGUAUUCACAAAUAGGCUUAAUUGUUAAGGUUUUCGAUAGUCAAAGUUUAUUAGGUGUUUAGGUAAGUUCUCUUGUUCUUUUAAGAGUUCUUGGUGACAGUUUAUUACCUGUAAUAAAAUUAAGUUUAUCUGUUGUGAAACAGGGAAAAAACAUGAGUUGUUUAUUUUCUGGUCUUAUGAAGAUUUAAGGAGGUGACAGAUUUUAACUUGGAUAAAUAGGAGAGCUUAAAUUAGCGAAUGUUAUUAUCUAGUUUGUGAAUUGCGGGAAAAAUUAAGAAAGCUCCAACGCCCUUUUUUGCGUGUAUUAUUUUCCAGUAAAAUUUAUUUCUUCAGUCUUCAUAUCUUUCUUAUAUUUCAUCAAGACAAUUUUUCUUUAUUGCCAAGAGACUUCAAUUGUUUUAGGCUGAACUAUAAGAAGUUGUAAAUGAAGUGUAUCGUACAGUGCAGAGUUGAAUGAUAGUGAUCUUCUCUCUCAAUCUUGGUUUGAUAGCUCCUGAUCUCAGUCUUGUUGAUUUAAUCACAAUAGACACAAAUGCAAUAGGAUCGUCAAUUUUCAAUAAUUGGUUGGUUUUCUAGUGUUUGUAAGAAUUUAAAACAACAAAAAAAAAAUUAAAAUUUAAACUACAACUUUAUUUGUUUCCUGUUUUUGAAAAAUGUUUUGUAUUUUAAAAAUAAUUUUUUCUUCAGUUUUAAAAAUAAAAAAUCAAAAUUUCCAAGUUACGUUCUUGCUUGUACGUACCCUCACAUCCUUUUCCCUCACCUACUUUCUAAAAAUUAUUUUUAAAAUGGUAUCACAAAAUGAUUUUUUAAAAUUUUGAAAAAUAAAACACAAAUAAAUAUAUCCUAAAUUUAAUAGACUGGGACAAUUUAAGAUCUGUUGAUUAGAAAUAAAAAAAAAUAACAUGAGAGUCUCAUAACCAUAUAUGGCUCUGAUAUUAAACUGCCAGCUUCAUAAAUCAUAGUCACUUCCUAGUAAACGCAAGCUAACAAUCUCCAUUCACAUUUCAAUCUUUCUUGGCCGAUUAUCCAUCCUUCAAUGAAUUUGAUAAAUUAGAUUUCGUAAGCAAUUUUUUUUCUUUCUAUUUUGACCAAUGAGUACAGCAUUUACUAGUCGUAGUUGACAUGCGUUUUGGUGCGUUACCCACAUGGUGCCAUAUCCUAACCUGCCGCCCCCACACCAUUUUCUAAUUUCUAAAAAUCCUUCUACUCAUUCUUAUAAUAUCCCUUCAUUAAUUUCUCCAUCACAUCUUAAUGAUCAUAUUUCUUAUAUUUAUUUCAUCUAUUCUGUCACGCCUCACCCAAAAUAUAAAAACAAAAUUUCAUCUGUCACUUAUCUUCCAGUCUCCACAUGCUCCAAAGAUCCACUAUUCAUAUGAUUAAUUCAAUUUUCUUUAAUUAAUUGCAAGCCAUUUUGUAACAGUUAAAGAACAUGACUUGUCCAUGUUCAUCUGAAAUCACAUACCCAAUUCGCAUUAAUCUAAGUGAAAAAGGACCAUGUAUUCAGUUCUCACAGUAUCCAGUCAAAGGAGCCAAGGAGGUUACCAAAUGGAACACACACAAAAUAUCAAUUCCACCCACCUAUAUUCUCCUUUCUAUAUAUGAACAUGCAAAGACACAAAUUUCUCUACAAUACUUGGCAAGCUUCUAAUUUCUUAUUUUAGUUUGGUGCUGAAAACCACACAAAACUUUAUGGUUGCAAAUUCUGUUCUUGUCCCCACUAGUAUGGAGCAUGAAGACCCCACUUAGAAAUUUCUGCAAGGGAGAAUCAUUUGACCAAUUGAUCCAAUUUUUAUUGUCCUAAUAGCGACAGAAAGUGCCACAACCAACCACCGGAACAGAACCAACACAAAUGUCAUACUGGCGACCAUCAAUUUGAACAAGAAAAUUAAGAAUUUGGAACGAUGUUAGUUUUACAAAAUUCAAAUUGAAUGUUCGAAUUCAAAUUUAACCGGUACCGAUUUAACUUAACUUCUACGAUCAUUCGUCAAGAAAAAUGCCAAUUACAAUUUUGCAUGCAUGUGUUUACUAGAUAAGGUCCAAAUUGUAAUGUUGGCUAAAUUCAUUAUAGGUACAGAAAGAGACCUAGAAUUAACAAUGGGUUAAGAAAACAAUAAUUUUGUGACAAUGGUCUGGGGUAUUCUUACGGAGUUAAGCUACAAAUCACUAUGGCUUUUGAAAGAGUCUUCUCAUAAUAAUUAAGAUUUAUCAGCAUUCCAAAUUUUCGUUGAAUGAAUCUACUCUCGCAGCCAACAGUAGUAUCAUUAAAGCAGCUUAAUCUACAUCUAGAGAAAGAGAAGCAUUAACUACUUUAUUUUAAAAACCUUGAGUUCAGUUUAUGUUAAAAAUAUGCAGAGUAAGAUUUAAAAAAGGAAAUAAUAAAUAAAUAAAUCACGGAACAAAACAAAGCAACAAAACAAAAUGUCCUUAAGAUCUCAUAUCAUAAUAUAUAGUCUAGUAAGCUUAAAAAAUACAUUCAAUCUUCGUAGACCCAGCAAUAAAUUCUGCCGAAGUAAGAGGAAUCAACCCCGUGUCGUGCUAGCCAUAAACCAGACAGAUUUCCUUUUGAAAUUGGCAAGAGGUGAGGGGAUAAGAAAAAAUAAAACUUUUAUGUAACAUCACACACCCUUACACUGUGGGUACAAUACCUUGUUCUUAUCCAAUUCUAAUACGACCAAGAUCAUCAUGCAACUAUAUUUACUUUAAACUAUUACCAGUCAAAUGAAUAUCAGAAUAUCUCCCUGUAGUACUAGAAUCUUAUGAAUGAUUAAAUUCUUUUCCUCUUUAUUGAGUCCGCACCUUGGUAAAAAAGAACAUGGUUUUAGGAUAGAUAGAUAAUAUAAUAUAAGUUUAAACAUAUGUUUUUAGGAUAGAUACAUAAUAUAAUGUAAGUUUAAAUAUAUGUUUAAACUUUCUGAUAAAUAAUUGAGUUUUAUUUUGGUUUCUUAAUAAAAAAAAAUGUUGUGAGUUUUUUAUAUAUUAAAAUUUUAAUUUUGAAUCUAUGUUAUUUAUUAAGUAAUAAGGCGAUAUCAUUAUAAUAGUUGAAAGUAUAGAAAAUAUCAGUUUGUAAGGUAACAUUUAUCAUUUUUUUAAUAUAUCAUAAACUCAAAAUAAUAAAUAAAUGUAGUAAAAAAUCUGAAUAAAGUUUAAUUAUUUAUGAGAGAUCUUAAAAUUAUAUUUAAGUCUAUAAUAUAUAUUUUUCUGGGUUAGGAGUCACUAUAGUUCAAUAUUCUGGCUCAGAACCCUUUGAAACUUGAAAGGUACCUUUCAGAUGUAAAAUUUGAGCUUGGUUAUGGUUGUAGCAUGUUUGUUGUGAAGGCCGUGUGUGUGGCUGUGUAAAAGAUUGAUAAGCAGUUAAGAUAGUGAUUUUCCGUUGUCACUGCAUCAGAGGGAAUCUUAAGGAAAAAAAACUUAAGCAAUUCGAUGAGGACCACAAAAUAUUCCAAACUACGCAAGAUCAACAUUAUUCCCAAGUAUACACACAUAUAAUGCAGCUUUUAGGGUUAUGAUCUGUAGGACACUAGGUGAUGCAAGUUCAGGUCCAUACAAAUACAAUGCAUUAAAAUUUUGUCUUGCCUUUUUCACUUUUCUUUUGUUACACCAAAAACAUUAUUUCUUGGUUAUAUAUGAUUCCAUCAUUUUCAUCUUUCACUUUCUGGGAAAUUUUUCCCUUUUUUCAAUUAAUGAUUGAUGUUGAUGACUAUGUCGUAUAAUUAUAAUAAGAGAUUUUCUAGAUACUUUCAUUUUUUUAAUAUUCAUUAAAUUUUGUCUCUGAUUGAAUUAAACAGUGUCUCAACAGCUAAUAAUCCCUACUAGAUACGGGACCAACCCUAUGAAAUCCCUUAGAAUUCCCAAGCAUUAGAAAGAAAAAAAAAUAUUAACAAUCUCAACUUGUAAUAAUUUCAGGCAGGUAUGGAGGAUAUAUAUAAAAGUAAGCCAUGAUGCUUGAAACAUUGUUUUCAUUAGCUGCGGGGUACUAAUUGAUUUGGAAAUGUGCUCAAAAUAGUCCUGCAUAACAUAAGGACUUUGGGAGGUUGGUUUAGUAUUCUUACUUAAGGCCCACUAAUUAUGUUGCCGCUAAUUAAAUAAAGAAUGAUGUUCUACCUAGUUAGAGACAAUCCGUUUGAAUUAAAAUUUGUAUGAGCAUAAUUCAUGGACACGAAAUUCAUUAAAGUCCAAGUAUUCACAUUUUUUUCUGCCAAAAUCUAAAUUGUAGCGGAUUAAUUUAUAAUUCUUGUUUUACAUCUUGCAUUUUAUAUAUAUUUUUUUCACAAAUUUUCUCAUUAAACCUUUUACAAGCAUUUUUUGCAACACAAUAAAAAAAAGAAGAGUGCAAGAGUAGCGAAACGGAGUUAACAAGAAGUCAAACCUUUAGAAGCAAAAGACUUGGACCCUUGUGCUCAUUCAACGGCACAAAGACUUGGACCUCUUCAAAGAUAGGUGUAGUCACAUAGGAUGGGGUCCUAAAAGCAGCAGAACAUGCGUGCUCUAGCUUUGCACCUAAAUGACUUUGCCUUGUAAAAGAACCCUAUUUUCUGACUUGCACCAGCUCUUUUUAAUUGGUCUCUCUGUAAAGAAAGAAAGAAAGAAUGGUAAAGCAGCAGUUGAUAGCCCUUACGUUUCCUUUGCUCUGCAUUUUCUCUCUUUUUUAUGAGCCCUUUCUUUUUUAACCCUUUUCUCUUUCGUUUUCUUUUCCUUUUCUUCCCCUCUACCUUUUUGGAAGUUUCCUUUCACCAUCCCCUAACCCACCCUCUCUCUCUCCAUCAGAAAUAGCAUAUGCUGCAUGCAGUUUAAGACCCACAUAUGAUACUAUCCCCUAUUUUCAGUCUUUUAUCCAAUUCCUUGUUCAAUUAAAAAGAGAAAAAAAAAAUCAAGUAUAAAUUUAUAAUUGUCAUAAUAAUAAUAACAAGUUUAAUGUUAUCUUUAAUGAUUUGUCUAUAAUUAAAAUUAAAAUUACCAAUAGAGUACCACGAAUAAAUUAAACAAUGGGUUGAAAUCAAAUGUUAAAUGAUCUUAUAAUCAUUCAAAAUCUCAUCAAAUAGGGCAUACUUUUUAACUGAAGUGUUUGGCUUAGUUUGAUAAAUUAUGGCCCAUACCUUCACAUAAAAUAACCCUACAUUUAAAAUCUUGAGCCAAAAAUGGCAUUAUAUCACUGUGAAGCAGAGAUAUAGCUAGGACUAGAAUAUAUAAGAGCAGAGAUUAGUAUUUGAUGGUGGGAUCAGAAGUGGGCCAAACAAAUCUCAGUUUUCAAAUUUACCUGUGGAACUCUGAUGAAGACUGAAACGCUUCGUUCAUGACCCUGUAUGCGUCCAAGGACUGAGGUCAGAGACACUGUACAUUACUCAGUGCCUUUUACUAUAUUUUUAAUUAUUUUUUUAUCUAGUCACUCUUUCACCAGUCACCACCACAUGGUCACAAACAAAACAAUCAAUUUUAGAAACGUAAAAAUAAAAUAAAAGAACAAAAUGAAACAAAAAGCAAAAGCUAAACCCCCUCUGAUUCCCGAAGAAAGCACCGUAUUCAAUGCUUACACAAGCGCCAUUAAACGAAGUGAAAAGCUAAACCCUCUUCUCUUCUCUCUCUCUCUCUCUCUCUCUUAUUUUAUUUUGUUCAUUCACCUUACUGUCCCUAUAAAACCCAAAACUCAACCCCACCCAAAAACAGAACCCUCUUCUUCUACCUCUCUCUCUCUCUCUCUCUCUCUCCAGAUUCUUCCCCUUCCAUGGAUGCUUUGAACUUCCUCAAAUUCUGGAGAAACGCCACCAUGAGCACAACCUCCGAACCCCACCUUGUUGUUGAAACCGACACCGAAUCCGACGAAGACGACUCAUUCUUCGACUUGGAGCUCACGCCACUCGAUUUCGACAACAAAGAAAACAACACCAACACCACCACAACCAAAAACGACGACGACCCAAAACAAACGACAACAAGCGAACUCAAAAGUCUUGGCUCCAAAGACAACUUACUCAGCAAAACAGACAAUGGCGUUCAGCGUAAAACACCACUUCCCCUGUCUCCUCCUUCCGAACCUAUCUCCAAACGUAAGGUCCUCCCAAUCGAACCUAUCUCCAAACCUCAGUCCCCCAUUGCGCUUCUCAGGUCCGCCCCGAGCUUCAGAAUCUUCAUGUUCCGAAAGCGAAACAGAACACCU
rnacentral:lncRNA from 1 species